rnacentral:lncRNA from 1 species
UUUUUUUUUCUGCUGCGUUACCCAACAGUCUCCUACUGGAUUGAUACCUUGGUUCUCAAAAGCCGAGGGAAAGACUUACUCUACUUUGCUACAGCACCCUUUCCUCUUCAAGGAAAAAACCAACACAAGCUUGAUGAUGUUUGCCAAGACUACGUCGGUGGUUCCCCCAAGAGGAGAGUAUGAUGUACCACUACAACGGUAGGUAUUUCCCUCAGUAAUGAAACCAAGGUUAUCAAACCAGUAGGAGAACCAAGCAAACACAAUGCAGCCCCUGCACAUGAAUAACAGCACCUCGCAACCCGAUGUGUUAAAGGGGUUGUCAAUCCCUUUCGGGUAUGGCGCCUCAAACGGUGCGUGGAUGGGAGAAAGUUGUAAUAGAUUGAAAUAAUAGAUCGCAAAUAAAAUAAAGUGCAGCAAAGUAUUAUUGUAUUUUUUGGGUUUAAGAGAUCUGAGUAAAAAUGCAAAGGAAAAAUAGAUCGCAAGGCAAAUAUAUGAGAAAGAAGACCCGGGGCCGUAGGUUCCACUAGUGGCUUCUCUCGAGAAAAAUAGCAAAUGGCGGGUAAACAAAUUACUGUUAGGCAAUUGAUAGAACUUCAAAUAAUUAUGACGAUAUCCAGGCGAUGAUCAAUACAUAGUCAUCACGUCCAAGAUUAGUAGACCGACUCCUGCCUGCAUCUACUACUAUUACUCCACACAUCGACCACUAUCCAGCAUGCAUCUAGUGUAUUAAGUUCAUGGAAAAACAGAGUAAUGCAAUAAGAACGAUGACAUGAUGUAGGCAAGAUCCGUUUAUCUAUAUGGUGGUAGAUAUAGAUCUCGUCUUUUUAUCCUUAGUAGCAACGAUACAUACGUGUCGGUUCCCGUUCUGUCACUGGGAUCAAGCACCGUAAGAUCGAACCAACUACCGGGCACCUCAUCCCAUUACAAGAUAAAUAGAUCAAGUUGGCCAAACAAAACCCAAAUAUCGGAGAAGAAAUACGAGGCUAUAAGAGAUCAUGCAUAUAAGAGAUCAAAGAAACUCAAAUAACUUUCAUGGAUAUAAAAAGAUAUAACUGACCAUAAACUCGAAGUUCAUCAGAUCCCAACAAACACACCGCAAAAGAGUUACAUCAUAUGGAUCUCCAAGAGACCAUUGUAUUGAGAAUUCAGUGAGAGAGAGAAAGCCAUCUAGCUACUAACUACGGACCCUAAGGUCUACAAAGAACUACUCACACAUCAUCAGAGAGGCACCAAUGGAAGUGGUGAACCCCUCCGUGAUGGUGUCUAGAUUGGAUCUGGUGGUUCUGGACUCUACGGCGGCUGGAUGAAUAUUUCGUCGACUCCCCUAGGGUUUGUGGAUUUUUGGGGUACUUAUAGAGCAAAGAGGCGGUCCGGGGGGCACCCGAGGUGGGCACAACCCACCAGGGCGCGUGAUACGUCUCCAACGUAUCUAUAAUUUUUGAUUGCUCCAUGCUAUAUUAUCUACUGUUUUGGACAUUAUUGGGCUUUAUUAUUCACUUCUAUAUUAUUUUUGGGACUAACCUAUUAACCGGAGGCCCAGCCCAGAAUUGCUGUUUUUUUGCCUAUUUCAGAGUUUUGCAAAAAAGGAAUAUCAAACGGAGUCCAAACGGAAUGAAACCUUCGGGAACGUGAUUUUUAGGAAGAAUAUGAUCCAGGAGACUUGGACCCUAUGUCAAGAAACAAAAGAGGAGGCCACGAGGUAGGGGGGCGCGCCUACCCCCACAGGGCGCGCCCUCCACCCUCGUGGGCCCCCUGUUGCUCCACCGACGUACUCCUUACUCCUAUAUAUACCUACGUACCCCCAAACGAUCAGAUACGGAGCCAAACACCUAAUUCCACCGCCGCAACCUUCUGUACCAACGAGAUCCCAUCUUGGGGGCUGUUCCGGAGCUCCGCCGGAGGGGGCAUCGAUCAUGGAGGGCUUCUACAUCAACACCAUAGCCCCUCCGAUGAAGUGUGAGUAGUUUACCUCAGACCUUCGGGUCCAUAGUUAUUAGCUAGAUGGCUUCUUCUCUCUUUUUGGAUCUCAAUACAAUGUUCUCCCCCUCUCUCGUGGAGAUCUAUUCGAUGUAAUCUUCUUUUUGUGGUGUGUUUGUUGAGACGCUGAAUUGUGGGUUUAUGACCAAGUUUAUCUUUGAACAAUAUUAGAAUCUUCUGAAUUCUUUUAUGUAUGAUUGGUUAUCUUUGCAAGUCUCUUCGAAUUAUCAGUUUGGUUUGGCCUACUAGAUUGAUCUUUCUUGCAAUGGGAGAAGUGCUUAUCUUUGGGUUCAAUCUCGCGGUAUCCUUUCCCAGUGACAGUAGGGGCAGCAAGGCACGUAUUGUAUUGUUGCCAUUGAGGAUAACAAGAUGGGGUUUUUAUCAUAUUGCAUGAAUUUAUCCCUCUACAUCAUGUCAUCUUGCUUAAGGCGUUACUCUGUUUUUAUGAACUUAAUACUCUAGAUGCAUGCUGGAUAGCGGUCGAUGAGUGGAGUAAUAGUAGUAGAUGCAGGCUGGAGUCGGUCUACUUGUCUCGGACGUGAUUCCUAUAUACAUGAUCAUACCUAGAUAUUCUCAUAACUAUGCUCAAUUCUGUCAAUUGCUCAACAGUAAUUUGUUCACCCACCGUAAAAUACUUAUGCUCUUGAGAGAAGCCACUAGUGAAACCUAUGGCCCCCGGGUCUAUCUUCAUCAUAUUAAUCUUCCAACACUUAGUUAUUUCCUUUGCUUUUUUACUUUGCUUUUAUUUUACUUUGCAUCUUUAUCACAAAAAUACCAAAAAUAUUAUCCUACCAUAUCUAUCAGAUCUCACUCUCGUAAGUGACCGUGAAGGGAUUGACAACCCCUUAUCGCGUUGGUUGCGAGGAUUUAUUUGUUUUGUGUAGGUGCGAGGGACUCGCGCAUAGCCUCCUACUAGAUUGAUACCUUGGUUCUCAAAAACUGAGGGAAAUACUUACGCUACUUUGCUGCAUCACCCUUUCCUCUUCAAGGGAAAACCAAUGCAGUGCUCAAGAGGUAGCAAGAAGGAUUUCUGGCGCCGUUGCCGGGGAGUCUACGCAAAAGUCAACAUACCAAGUACCCAUCACAAACCCUUAUCUCCUGCAUUACAUUAUUUGCCUUUUGCCUCUCGUUUUCCUCUCCCCCACUUCACCCUUGCCUUUUUAUUCGUCCUCUCUCUUUCGUUCGCCUCUUUUGCGUGUUUGCUUGUGUUACCAUGUGCCUUCUUUUUGCUUGCAUCUUCACUUGCUAAAAGUUUAUGGAUCCUCAUCCCCUUGCUAAUCUCUUUAAGAGAUCCAAUUAUGAUGAACCAAUUGCUAGUGAGUUUUGUGCACUAGAUUAUCUUUAUGAAGUUUUGCUUGAAAUUUGUGAAUCUAAAAAUUGUGAUGAAGUGCUUUAUAAUGUGAUUCGCGAUAGAUAUUUCAAUAAAAAGCAUGAUUGCAAUGAUUUUACUAUAAAUUUUCUUGAUGUCAAUUGUGCUGAUAAUAUGCAAAACCCUAAGCUUGGGGAUGCUAGUUUUGCUAUGUCUACUACUUGUUGCAAUGAUCAUGAUUGGGGUGAUUCUUCUUAUGAUCUUGAAAAUUUAUUUAAUCCCCAUGAUGAGUAUGAGAUUGAUAAUAUUGUUUGCAAUAAUAUUGAAAGUGGGUUUGGAAGAGUGUCAACUUUAGAUCCCACAUAUUUGGAGAAUAUUCAAUCUUAUGAAAUUUUUGAUAAAAGUGGGUUUGGAGAGGUCAUGACUUUAGUUAAUGUUAAUCCCACUAUUUCGGAAGAGUGUCAACUUUGCGUGCAUGUGGAUCGUGUUGAAAAUAUUUUAUGUGAUAGAUAUUUUGUUGAAUUUGCUUAUGAUCCCACAUGUAAUUAUUACGAGAGAGGAAAAUAUGGUCGUAGAAAUUUUCAUGAUAAUAAAUUACCUCUCGUUAUAUUGAGAUUGCUAUUGUUUCUUUCCGCUUCCUUGCAUAUGCUAGUUUUUGCUUGCUAUGAGAAUUUGUUUGCCUAUAAGAUGCCUAUGCAUAGGAAUUAUGUUAGACUUAUAUGUGUUUUUCAUGUGUUUCAUGAUGAUCUCUUUGCGCUUCAAUUCUCAUCUUUCAUGUGAGCAUCAUUAGAAUUAUCAAAGCCUAGCUAGGGGCGUUAAACGAUAGCGCUUGUUGGGAGGCAACCCAAUUUUAUUUUUAGUUUUUUGCUUCUUGCUUAUGUUUAGGAAUAAAUAUUUGUUCUAGCCUCUGGUUAGAUGUGUUUUUAUGUUUUAAUUAGUGUUUGUGCCAAGUUAAACCUAUAGGAUCUUCUUGGAUGAUAGUUAUUUGAUCUUGCAGAAAUUUCCAGAAACUUUCUGUUCACAAAAAUAAUUGUUAAAAAUCACCAGAAUGUGAUAAAAUACUGAUUCCAAUUGCUGCUGAUCAAUAAACAAAUUUACUAGGUCGUCCUAUUUUGGCUGAUUUUGUGGAGUUCCAGAAGUUUGCGUUAGUUACAGAUUACUACAGACUGUUCUGUUUUUGACAGAUUCUGUUUUUCGUGUGUUGUUUGCUUAUUUUGAUGAACUUAUGGCUACUAAAAUAGUUUAUAAACCAUAGAGAAGUUGGAAUACAGUAGGUUUAACACCAAUAUAAAUAAAGAAUGAGUUCAUUACAGUACCUUGAAGUGGUCUUUUGUUUUCUUUCGCUAACGGAGCUCACAAGAUUUUCUGUUGAGUUUUGUGUUGUGAAGUUUUCAAGUUUUGGGUGAAAGAUUUAAUGGAUUGUGGAACAAGGAGUGGCAAGAGCCUAAGCUUGGGGAUGCCCAUGGCACCCCCAAGAUAAUCUAAGGACACCAUAAAGCCAAAGCUUGGGGAUGCCCCGGAAGGCAUCCCCUCUUUCGUCUACUUCCAUCGGUAACUUUACUUGGAGCUAUAUUUUUAUUCACCACAUGAUAUGUGUUUUCCUUGGAGCGUCUUGUAUGAUAUGAGUCUUUGAUUUUUAGUUUACCACAAUCAUCCUUGUUGUACACACCUUUUGAGAGAGCCAUACAUGAUUUGGAAUUUGUUAGAAUACCCUAUGUGCUUCGCUUAUAUCUUUUGAGUUAUAUAGUUUUGCUUUAGUACUUCACUUAUAUCUUUUAGAGCACGGUGGUGGAUUUGUUUUAUAGAAACUAUUGAUCUCUCAUGCUUCACUUAGAUUAUUUUGAGAGUCUUAAAUAGCAUGGUAAUUUGCUUAAAUAAUCCUAAUAUGCUUGGUAUUCAAGAUUAGUAAAAACUCUCUUAUGAGUGUGUUGAAUACUAAGAAAAGUUUGAUGCUUGAUAAUUGUUUUGAGAUAUAAAGAUGGUGAUAUUAGAGUCAUGCUGGUUGAGUAGUUGUGAAUUUGAGAAAUACUUGUGUUAAAGUUUGUGAUUCCCGUAGCAUGCACGUAUGGUGAACCGUUAUGUGAUGAAGUUGGAGCAUGAUUUAUUUAUUGAUUGUCUUCCUUAUGAGUGGUGGUCGGGGACGAGCGAUGGUCUUUUCCAACCAAUCUAUCCCCCUAGGAGCAUGCGUGUAACACUUUGCUUUGAUAACUUGUAGAUUUUUGCAAUAAGUAUAUGAGUUCCUUAUGACUAAUGUUGAGUCCAUGGAUUAUACGCACCCUUCUUCCUUCCACCAUUGCUAGCCUCUCUAAUACCGCGCACUUUUCACCGGUAUCAUACACCCACCAUAAACCUUCCUCAAAACAGCCACCAUACCUACCUAUCAUGGCAUUUUCAUAGCCAUUCCGAGAUAUAUUGCCAUGCAACUUUCCACCGUUUCAUUUAUUAUGACACGCUCCAUCAUUGUCAUAUUGCUUUGCAUGAUCAUGUAGUUGACAUCGUAUUUGUGGCAAAGCCACCGUUCAUAAUUUUUUCAUACAUGUCACUCUUGAUUCAUUGCAUAUCCCGGUACACCGCCGGAGGCAUUCUUAUAGAGUCAUAUUUUGUUCUAAGUAUCGAGUUGUAAUUGUUGAGUUGUAAGAAAAUAAAAGUGUGAUGAUCUUCAUUUUUAGAGCAUUGUCCCAAGUGAGGAAAAGGAUGAUGGAGACUAUGAUUCCCCCACAAGUCGGGAUGAGACUCCGGACGAAAAAAAAUGAGAGAAAAAGAGAGAAGGGACAAUGUUACUAUCCUUUUACCACACUUGUGCUUCAAAGUAGCACCAUGAUCUUCAUGAUAGAGAGUCUCUCAUUUUGUCACUUUCAUAUACUAGUGGGAAUUUUUCAUUAUAGAACUUGGCUUGUAUAUUCCAAUGAUGGGCUUCCUCAAAAUGCCCUAGGUCUUCGUGAGCAAGCGAGUUGGAUGCACACCCACUUAGUUUCUUUUGUUGAGCUUUCAUAUACUUAUAGCUCUAGUGCAUCCGUUGUAUGGCAAUCCCUACUCACUCACAUUGAUAUCUAUUGCUGGGCAUCUCCAUAGCCCGUUGAUACGCCUAGUUGAUGUGAGACUAUCUUCUUCCUUUUUGUCUUCUCCACAACCACCAUUCUAUUCCACAUAUAGUGCUAAGUCCAUGGCUCACGCUCAUGUAUUGCGUGAAGAUUGAAAAAGUUUAAGAAUGUCAAAAGUAUGAAACAAUUGCUUGGCUUGUCAUCGGGGUUGUGCAUGAUUUAAAUACUUUGUGUGGUGAAGAUAGAGCAUAGCCAGACUAUAUGAUUUUGUAGGGAUAACUCUCUUUGGCCAUGUUAUUUUGAGAAGACAUAAUUGCUUUGUUAGUAUGCUUGAAGUAUUAUUAUUUUUAUGUCAAUAUUAAACUUUUGUCUUGGACUUUUGGAUCUGAAUAUUCAUACCACAAUUAAGAAGAAUUACAUUGAAAUUAUGCCAAGUAGCACUCCGCAUCAAAAAUUCUGUUUUUAUCAUUUACCUACUCGAGGACGAGCAGGAAUUAAGCUUGGGGAUGCUUGAUACGUCUCCAACGUAUCCAUAAUUUUUGAUUGCUCCAUGCUAUAUUAUCUACUGUUUUGGACAUUAUUGGGCUUUAUUAUCCACUUUUAUAUUAUUUUUGGGACUAACCUAUUAACUCGAGGCCCAGCCCAGAAUUGCUGUUUUUGCCUAUUUCAGAGUUUCGCAGAAAAGGAAUAUCAAACAGAGUCCAAACGGAAUUAAACCUUCGGGAACGUGAUUUUUAGGAAGAAUAUGAUCCAGGAGACUUGGACCCUACGUCAAGAAACAAAAGAGGAGUCCACGAGGUAGGGGGGCACGCCUACCCCCCCCCCCCCAGGGCGCGCCCUCCACCCUCGUGGGCCCCCUGUUGCUCCACCGACGUACUCCUUCCUCCUAUAUAUACCUACGUACUCCCAAACGAUCAGAUACGGAGCCAAAAACCUAAUUCCACAGCCGCAACCUUCUGUACCCACGAGAUCCCAUCUUGGGGCCUGUUCCGGAGCUCCGCCGGAGGGGGCAUCGAUCACGGAGGGCUUCUACAUCAACACCAUAGCCCCUCCGAUGAAGUGUGAGUAGUUUACCUCAGACCUUCAGGUCCAUAGUUAUUAGCUAGAUGGCUUCUUCUCUCUUUUUGGAUCUCAAUACAAAGUUCUCCCCCUCUCUCGUGGAGAUCUAUUCGAUGUAAUCUUCUUUUUGCGGUGUGUUUGUAUAGACCGAUGAAUUGUGGGUUUAUGAUCAAGUUUAUCUAUGAACAAUAAUUGAAUCUUCUGAAUUCUUUUAUGUAUGAUUGGUUAUAUUUGCAAGUCUCUUCGAAUUAUCAGUUUGGUUUGGCCUACUAGAUUGAUCUUUCUUGCAAUGGGAGAAGUGCUUAGCUUUGGGUUCAAUCUUGCGGUGUCCUUUCCCAGUGACAGUAGGGGCAGCAAGGCACGUAUUGUAUUGUUGCCAUCGAGGAUAACAAGAUGGGGUUUUUAUCAUAUUGCAUGAAUUUAUCCCUCGACAUCAUGUCAUCUUGCUUAAGGCGUUACUCUGUUUGUAUGAACUUAAUACUCUAGAUGCAUGCUGGAUAGUGGUCGAUGAGUGGAGUAAUAGUAGUAGAUGCAGGCAGGAGUCGGUCCACUUGUCUCGGACGUGAUGCCUAUAUACAUGAUCAUACCUAGAUAUUCUCAUAACUAUGCUCAAUUCUGUCAAUUGCUCAACAGUAAUUUGUUCACCCACCGUAAAAUACUUAUGCUCUUGAGAGAAGCCACUAGUGAAACCUAUGGCCCCCGGGUCUAUCUUCAUCAUAUUAAUCUUCCAACACUUAGUUAUUUCCUUUGAUUUUUACUUUGCUUUUAUUUUACUUUGCAUCUUUAUCACAAAAUACCAAAAAUAUUAUCCUAUCAUAUCUAUCAGAUCUCACUCUCGUAAGUGACCGUGAAGGGAUUGACAACCCCUUAUCGCGUUGGUUGCGAGGAUUUAUUUGUUUUGUGUAGGUGCGAGGGACUCGCGCGUAGCCUCCUACUGGAUUGAUACCUUGGUUCUCAAAAAUUGAGGGAAAUACUUACGCUACUUUGCUGCAUCACCCUUUCCUCUUCANNNNNNNNNNNNNNNNNNNNNNNNNNNNNNNNNNNNNNNNNNNNNNNNNNNNNNNNNNNNNNNNNNNNNNNNNNNNNNNNNNNNNNNNNNNNNNNNNNNNNNNNNNNNNNNNNNNNNNNNNNNNNNNNNNNNNNNNNNNNNNNNNNNNNNNNNNNNNNNNNNNNNNNNNNNNNNNNNNNNNNNNNNNNNNNNNNNNNNNNNNNNNNNNNNNNNNNNNNNNNNNNNNNNNNNNNNNNNNNNNNNNNNNNNNNNNNNNNNNNNNNNNNAGGUGCAACUAGGGCCCAUUGCCUUCCUUCUGGCCCAUAUAAAAUCAUCAUGGUGUUUCAUGGCAUUUGGACUUCAUUUGAUAUUGAUUUCCUGCACUAUAAAAAACAUGGAAAAAACAUCAACUGGAACUUGGCACUAUGUCAAUAGGUUAGUCCCAAAAAUGACAUAAAAUGACUAUAAAAUGAUUAUAAUACAUCCAAGAUAGAUAAUAAAAUAGCAUGGAACAAUAAAAAAUUAUAGAUACAUUGUAGACGUAUCAAAGCUCAAGAGGUAGCAUCACAUCAAGUAAAUCUUAUUGAUUUACUGUCUAAAUCUUAUUGAUUUAAUGUCAUGUUUUCUUACUUUUGUUGCAAUUUUAUGAUGCAGGUUUUGCCAUGUGAAAUUCGUCAUAGAAUAAACCGUUUGGUUUGCUCUAUGAUGGUUAUUUUUGCAGGUUUCACUUCUUAUGUCAUGUCAGUAACGAAGGCAUUGUCCAUCACUUAUAUUACUGGACACAAUUGGAUCAGUCUGUUGUCUGAGUACAAUCUGAAGUCCUAUGAUGAACUGCAGUUUGGUUUAACAAACACGCCACAAUUAGUCCUUCUCGCGUUUAAAAGAAAUGAAGAAUAAGACUGGGUUAAGGUCACGGAGCCUAGUCAAGUUAGAAAGCUGAUCAUAGCAGACCAGAGACGAUCGUUGUUGUCUGGCACAUCGGUACCACCUUCAGCAACAGAUCAAGCACUGACACCUUCUCCGACGGCACUUGCUCUAGCACUGACAUCGACAGCAACUCAGUCUGAUCCACCUGAGGAAUUGGCACCGACCACGUCAACGGAUCAGGCUGAUCUACCAGAGGAUCGGGCAUCGACACCGGCACCAGCUCCACAAGGAGCACCAUCUCCGGCAGCUGCAGUGGCACUACCAGUCACACCGGCAUGGGAACCAGCAACGGCUCCGGCACCUGCACCAACACUGGAAAUUGCGCUUGCAUCUACUCUAGCCCAUGCAGCAGCAACGGAACUAGUAGUCGCACCAGCAACAGACUGGGCUGCAGUUCACACUACAUAUAAGUCCUUACAAAAACCGAUAUCUCCACCUUCUUGGUAAGCAUUGGUCGCCCAAGUGCUUCGUUAUUUUUUCUUUCCAUGUUGUUUCACAUGAUUUACUGUGUUGAUCUAACUGUUUGUGUAUGUCUUCUUGUUUGCAAACAGAGAAUUCCUAGAGCAACGAGGGAGUCGUUCAACAAUCCGGGCGAUCGUGGCCAAGAUUCUCUUACCAUGCGCAGCCUUGGUGUGAAUGAACCUGCUCAAUAUAACAUAAGUACAAAGGAUGGUCGUAUGAUGAUUGAUGCUAAAGGAUGGUCAAGGUUCAAAUCUAAAUCAAAUCUUGCGGUAGGGGAUGAUGUCAAAAUCGAACUUUCACGGCUUGGAGAGCUGGUCCAAAUCAACUUUGAAAUUCUUCACUAGCGGCACGCAACUGCCGAACUGAUCUAUCCUCCUAGAGAUUUUGAUGUAAUAAUAUGGCAUGGUGAAACAAGUGUCAUGUGUGUAUAAGUAGUACGACAGUAUUAUUUAUCACGUAGGAUAUCUUGAAAGAAUUGCAACUUUGAUUGCUGGUUAGGAACUGUUGUUCGAUUUCAUUCUAACAGCUCCCGUGCUUUAUUCGAUUUUCUAUAUUCACCUUGCAACAACAUCUAAAACCAGCGUCGAACCGAUCGCUUGCAAUAUGAAAUGCACUAAGUUAGAACACAUGGGCCCCCAAACAUGCAGGCCCACCGGCCUGUGGCCCAAAGUCCAGAACCGUGAGCCUGUCUGAGUAUUAUAUUCUCAGCUAAACCCCCAUAUUAUGUUAUAUAUAUUCCGCUUGAUUUUUCUUAUGUAUAAAGUUGUGAUAUAAAAGAUUUUUAUAUUUUUACAGAGGGAGUAUCUCUCUGUCAAAAAUAUAUUUAUGUGUAACUAGUUACUCCUGCCUUUCUACUUCCUUUCGCUGAUAUGUGGGGCAUCCGGCAACGGGGUCCACGUGCCAUGCACCAAAUUAGAGUGCACAACUGCACGGUAGACUCACCCCGGUCGUAGCGUGAUACGUCUCCGUCGUAUCUACUUUUCCAAACACUUUUGCCCUUGUUUUGGACUCUAACUUGCAUGAUUUGAAUGGAACUAACCCGGACUGACGCUGUUUUCAGCAGAAUUGCCAUGGUGUUAUUUAUGUGCAGAAACAAAAGUUCUCGGAAUGACCUGAAACUCCACGGAACUUAUUUUUGGAAAAUAUUAAAAAUACUGGAAGAAGAAUCCACGUCAGGGGGGCCACCACCUGUCCACAAGGGUGGGGGCGCGCCUACCCCCCUGGGCACGCCCCCUACCUCGUGGGCCCCCUAUUGCUCCACCGACCUCAACUCCAACUCCAUAUAUUCGUGUUCGGGGAGAAAAAAAUCAGAGAGAAGGCUUCAUCGCGUUUUACGAUACGGAGCUGCCGCCAAGCCCUAAAACCUCUCGGGAGGGCUGAUCUGGAGUCCGUUCGGGGCCCCGGAGAGGGGAAUCCGUCGCCGUCGUCAUCAUCAACCAUCCUCCAUCACCAAUUUCAUGAUGCUCACCGCCGUGCGUGAGUAAUUCCAUCAUAGGCUUGCUGGACGGUGAUGGGUUAAAUGAGAUUUAUCAUGUAAUCGAGUUAGUUUUGUUAGGGUUUGAUCCCUAGUAUCCACUAUGUUCUGAGAUUGAUGUUGCUACUUUGCUAUGCUUAAUGCUUGUCACUAGGGCCCGAGUGCCAUGAUUUCAUAUCUGAACCUAUUAUGUUUCCAUGAAUAUAUGUGAGUUCUUGAUCCUAUCUUGCAAGUCUAUAGUCACCUACUAUGUGUUAUGAUCCGGCAACCCCGAAGUGACAAUAAUCGGGACCACUCCCGGUGAUGACCAUAGUUUGAGGAGUUCAUGUAUUCACUAUGUGUUAAUGCUUUGGUCCGGUACUCUAUUAAAAGGAGGCCUUAAUAUCCCUUAGUUUCCAUUAGGACCCCGCUGCCACGGGAGGGUAGGACAAGAGAUGUCAUGCAAGUUCUUUUCCAUAAGCACGUAUGAAUAUAUUCAGAAUACAUGCCUACAUUGCAUUGAUGAAUUGGAGCUAGUUCUGUGUCACCCUAUGUUAUGACUGUUACAUGAUGAACCGCAUCCGGCAUAAUUCUCCAUCACCGAUCCAAUGCCUACGAGCUUUUCACAUAUUGUUCUUCGCUUAUUUACUUUUCCGUUGCUACUGUUACAAUCACUACAAAACCCAAAAAUAUUACUUUUGCUACCGUUACCGUUACUUCCAUAUUACUUUGCUACUAAACAUUUUGCUGCAGAUACUAAGUUAUCCAGGUGUGGUUGAAUUGACAACUCAGCUGCUAAUACUUGAGAAUAUUCUUUGGCUCCCCUUGUGUUGAAUCAAUAAAUUUGGGUUGAAUACUCUACCCUCGAAAACUGUUGCGAUCCCCUAUACUUGUGGGUUAUCAUAGCGCCAUAGUAAUGCCCAACGAGCCGUCAAAUCACAAAAACCCCACCUUUCCAGCUUUAGCAGUAAGCUGGACGGAUGAAGCAGCAAUAUUUCACUGGGCCUAAAUCCCCUUCUCCCUCGUCUGGUUGUUGGGAGAAAACCCCCUCUCGGCGAUUGCAUAGGGUUUUCUCAUGGAGAACUAGGUACGAAUUCUUCAUCCAUCCCCGAUAAAUCCAAGUCCCUUGGUUGCAGGUAAUCCUAGGAUGGCAGCCACGCCAUUGAUGCGUUUUUCUUCCUACUAAAUCUAGCGUGUUUCAUUUGCAGUGCCCAAAGUGCAAGGACUGAUACAUCUCCAACGUAUCUAUGAUUUUUAAUUGUUCCAUGUUGUUAUAUUGUCAAUCUUGGAUGUUUUAUAAUCAUUUUAUAGUCAUUUUAUAUCAUUUUUUGGUACUAACCUAUUGACAUAGUGCCAAGUGCCAGUUAUUGUUUUCUGCAUGUUUUUUACAUCGCAAGAAAUCAAUAUCAGACGGAGUCCAAAUGCAACGAAACUUCACGGAGAUUUUUUUGGACCAGAAGGAACAUAAUGAGCCCUGGCUGCGCCUUGGGGGUGCCCCGAGGGGGGCACAACCCACCAGGGCGCGCCAGGAGGCCCAGGCGUGCCCUGGUGGGUUGUGCCCACCUCGGGUGCCCCCCGGACCGCCUCUUUGCUCUAUAAAUACCCCAAUAUUCCCAAAACCCUAGGGGAGUCGACGAAAUAUUCAUCCAGCCACCGCAGGGUCCAAAACCACCAGAUCCAAUCUAGACACCAUCUCGGAUGGGGUUCACCACCUCUAUUGGUGCCUCUCCGAUGAUGCAUGAGUAGUUCUUUGUAGACCUUCAGGUCCGUAGUUAGUAGCUAGAUGGCUUCCUCUCUCUCACUGAAUUCUCAAUACAAUGGUCUCUUGGAGAUCCAUAUGAUGUAACUCUUUUGCGAUGUGUUUGUUGGGAUCGGAUGAACUUUGACUUUAUGAUCAGUUAUAUCUUUUUAUAUCCAUGAAAGUUAUUUGAGUUUCUUUGAUCUCUUAUAGCCUCGUAUUUCUUCUCCGAUAUCUGGGUUUUAUUUGGCCAACUUGAUCUAUUUAUCUUGCAAUGGGAAGAGGUGCUUUGUAGUGAGUUCGAUCUUACGGUGCUUGAUCCCGGUGACAGAAAGGGAACCGACACGUAUGUAUCGUUGCUACUAAGGAUAAAACGAUGGGGUCUAUCUCUACAUAGACAGAUCUUGUCUACAUCAUGUCAUCAUUCUUAUUGCAUUACUCCAUUUCUCCAUGAACUUAAUACACUAGAUGCAUGCUGGAUAGUGGUCGAUGUGUGGAGUAAUAGUAGUAGAUGCAGGAAGGAGUCGGUCUACUAAUCUUGGACGUGAUGCCUAUAUGAUGAUCAUUGCCUGGAUAUCGUCAUGAUUAUUUGAAGUUCUAUCAAUUGCCCAACAGUAAUUUGUUCACCCAUCGUUUGCUAUUUUUCUCGAGAGAAGCCACUAGUGAAACCUACGCCCCCCGGAUCUCUUUCUCAUAUAUUUGCCUUUGCGAUCUACUUUUCCUUCGGAUUUAUUUUCAGAUCUAUUAAACCAAAAAUACAAAAAUACUUUCCUGCACUUUAUUUUAUUUGCGAUCUAUUUAUUCCAUCCAUUACAACUUUUUCCCGUUUGCACGUCGUUUCUGGCGCCGUUACCCGAAAGGGAUUGACAACCCUUUUAACACGUCGGGUUGUGAGGUGUUGUUAUUUGUGUGCAGGGGCUUUUUACGUUGUGUUGCUUGGUUGUCCUACUGGUUCGAUAACCUUGGUUUCAUAUCUGAGGGAAAUACCUACCGCUGUUGUGCUGCAUCAUCCCUUCCUCUUUGGGGAAAUACCGACGUAGCUAAAAGCGACAUCUAAAGGAAAUUUUGGCGCCGUUGUCGGGGAGGAUCUUCAACAUAUACCAGGUUCCUAAUCACAACUCUCAUCUCCUCGCAAUUUACAUUAAUUGACAUUUGCCUCUUAUUUUCCUCUCCCCCACUUCACAAAAAUUUGCCGUUUUAUUCACCUCUCUUUUUCUCUUUGCCGUUUUCUUGUCGGAUCUGUUUUUUACUGCAAUCUUGUUGUGCAGUCAUCAUGACUCAAGAGAACACCAAGUUAUGUGAUUUCUCAAAUACCAACAACAAUGAUUUUAUUGGCACUCCGAUCGCUCCUCCCGCCACUAGUGCGGAGUCUUGUGAUAUUAAUACUGCUUUGCUCUUGUUAUGAAAGAUUAAUUUUCCUGUACUCCUAAUGAGGAUGCAGCGUCCCAUCUUAAUACCGUCAUGGAAUUAUGCGAUAUGCAAAAGAAAAAAUAUGUGGACAAUGAUGUGGUGAAGGUGAAAUUAUUUCCGUUUUCUUUGUGUGAUUCUACAAAAAUUUGGUUCUCUUCUUUGCCUCGCAAUAGUAUCGAUUCUUGGAAUAUGUGCAAAGAUGCUUUUAUCACUAAGUAUUUUCCGCCCGCAAAAAUUAUUUCCCUUAGAACCCAGAUCAUGAACUUCAAGCAACUUGAACAUGAGCAUGUUGCACAAUCUUGGGAAAGGAUAAAAAUGAUGCUAAGGAAUUGCCCAACUCAUGGGUUAAAUAUUUGGAUGAUCAUACAAAUUUUUAUGCUGGGUUGAAUUCUGUUUCUCUUAAUCUUUUAGAUUCCUCCGUGGGGGGUACUUUUAUGGAAAUUAUUUUGGGUGAAGCCACCAAAUUGCUUGAUAAUAUCAUGGCAAAUUAUUCACAAUGGCAUACUGAAAGAGCUCGUACUAGUAAAAAAGUUAAUUCGGUUGAAGAAAUUUCUUCUUUGAGUGAAAAAGUUGAUGCUCUUACGAAAUUGGUUGCUAGUAAAAGUGCUCCUAUUGAUUUUAGUGAUAUGCCUUUGUCUACUUUGAUUGAGCAAAAUAGUGAUGCCAUAGAUGUGAAUUUCAUUUCUCGAAAUAAUUUUCAUAACAAUGCUUAUAGAGGUAAUUUUAUUCCUAGGCCUUUUCCUAGUAAUUCCUCUAAUAAUUAUGGUAAUUCCUAUGGAAAUCAAUCUUAUAAUAAUAAUAGGAACACCUCUGAUCUUGAGAAUAAUAUUAAAGAAUUUAUCAACACGCAAAAAGUUUUCAACACUUCCAUAGAAUAAAAGAUGAGUAAGAUUGAUGAUUUGUCUAGAAGUGUUGAUAGACUUGCUCAUGAUGUGGAAACUCAAGAUGAAAAUUUUUGUGCCUAAGGUUGAUGAAUCAAUUAAAGCUUUUUAUGUUUCUAUGGAUGAAAGUAAGAAAAGAACCGCUAUGCUUAGAGCUAAAAGAGAAUUUUUAGAAAAAUCAUUUUCUAGUGAUUUCUUUUGUAAAAGUGAUGAAGAUCUUAAUAUGAUUGGUGUUUCUUCUAUUGAUUCUUUGUUUAGUAAAGUUAAGAUUGAUGAUAAAGAGACUGGAGAAGAGUCAACUUUAGGUAGAAGGCAUCCCAAUAUUUCGGAGGGUGAAAAUCUUGUUGAGAAAAUUGAUAAAAGUGGGUUUGGAGAGGUCAAAACUUUAACUAGUGAUGGGCCCACUCUUUUGGAUUACAAAGACUUUAAUUAUGAUAGUUGCUCUUUGAUUGAUUGUAUUUCUUUGUUGCAGGCCAUGAUAAAUUCACCCCAUGCCUAUGAAACAAAACAAAGCUUUUACUAAACAUAUUGUUAAUGCUAUGAUGAAAGCUUUUGAAGAAAAAUUGGAAUUAGAAGUAUCAAUUCCUAGAAAAUUGCAUGAUGAAUGGGAACCUACUAUCAAAUUAAAGAUUAAAAAUUAUGAGUGCUUUGCUUUUUGUGACUUGGGUGCUAGUGUUUCUAUAAUUCUGAAAUCUUUAUGUGAUGUGCUUGGUCUUACCGAUAUUGAAUCAUGUUCUUUAAAUUUGCACUUGGCAUAUUCUACUAUUAAAAAGCCUAUGGGAAGAAUUAAUGAUGUUCUUAUUCUUUCAAAUAGGAAUUAUGUGCCCAUAGAUUUUAUUGUUCUUGAUAUUGAUUGCAAUCCAUCUUGUCUAAUUAUUCUUGGUAGACCGUUUUUACGCACUAUCGGUGCCGUGAUUGAUCUGAAAGAAGGCAAUAUUAAGUUCCAAUUUCCUUUGAGGAAGGGUAUGGAACACUUUCCUAGAACAAGAAUUAAGCCACCUUAUGAAUCAAUCAUGAGGGCAUCUUAUGGAUCUCGAACCAAAGAUGACAAUACUUAGAUCCUUGCUUUAUGCCUAGCUAGGGGCGUAAAACUAUAGCGCUUGUUGUUAGGCAACCCAAUGAAUAAAAUUUAUUUUUGCUUUUUGAUUUCUGUUAUUGAGUGUUUGCACGAUUCUGUUAAUGUUAUGAUUGUGUCUUUGGUGUUUUAGUUAGUGUUUGUGCCAAGUAAAGCCUUUAGGAUCUUCUUGGGUGAUAGUUGUUUGAUCUUGCUGAAAAACAGAAACUUAUGCGCUCAUGAUAACAAUUGUUAAAAAUCACCAGAACAUGAUUAAAUGCCAAUUCUUUUUGCAGAAGAUUAAUUUACAAAUUACCCAGGUCGUCCUAAUUUUUUCAGAAUUUUUGGAGUUACAGAAGUAUUUGAAAUAGUCAGAUUGCUACAGACUGUUCUGUUUUGACAGAUUCUGUUUUCUUUGCGUUGUGUGCUUAUUUUGAUGGCUCUAUGGUUUUCUUUGAUGAGUUUUUGCCAUAGAAAAGUUGGAAUACAGUAGAUAUAAUGCAAAAACAAAAUAUGAAUUGGUUUGAUACAGUACUUAUAGUAGUGGUUUGCUUUCUUAUACUAACGGAUCUCACGAAGGUUUUGUUGAGUUUUGUGUGAUUGAAGUUUUCAAGUUUUGGGUUAUCUUACGAUGGAUGAAGGAAGGAUAGAAGAGUCUAAGCUUGGGGAUGCCCCGGAAUCCCAAGCUAUUAUUCAAAAAUGAGCAACCAACUAAGCUUGGGGAUGCCCCUGAGUGGCAUCCCCUCUUUCUUCUAACGACCAUCGGUAUUUUACUCGAAGCUAUAUUUUUAUUCGUCAGAUACUAUGUGUUUUGCUUGGAGCGUCUUGUAUGAUAUGAGUCUUUGCUUGUUUUAUUUUGUGUUUUAAGUCAUCAAUCCUUUCUGGACACACCUAUUUGAGAGAGCCAAAAUUAUGUCCUGGCUUGUUAGAAUUGCUCUCUAUGCUUCACUUAAAUCUUUUAUGAGCUAUGGACUUGCUCUAAUGAUUCACUUAUAUCUUUUUUAGCACGGGGUGCUUAGUUAUUUUUGAAGGAAUGCUCUCUUGCUUCACUUAGAUUUAUUUGAGAGUUAAUAAAAAUUUCAAGAAAUUCUCUCUUGCUUCACUUAAAUUAUUUUGAGAGAAAGAAAAAAAAUGUAUGCUCAUGAUCUUCACUUAUAUUUGUUUGAGCUUAUGAAAAGCAACACAUGAAAAUUAGUCCCAAGGUGAUAGAUAUACAAGAAGGAUAUAAUAAAAACUUUCAUGAAGAUCAUUGGACAAAAUAAACUUGGUUCUUAGUAAUAGUUUUGAGAUAUGAUGAUGUGAUAUGUGAGUUGUGUUGAUGAGUAAUUAUACUUUAGUAAGAAUAUUGGUGUUAAGGUUUGUGAUUCCCUAUGCAAGCACGAAAGUCAAUAGUCAUGCAAUGAAAUUAUAUCCUACUUAUGGUGCAUUAUUCAGUGUUAAUUAUGCUUAAAGCUUGCUUAUGAGAUUAUUCGUUUCUUGGUUGGUCGCUUCUCCAUCUUUUGCUAGCCUUCAUUUUGCACCAAGUAUGAUCUCUACUUGUGCAUCCAAAAUCCUUUAAACCAGUUUUGCCACAUGAGUCCACUAUAUCUACCUAUAUGCGGUAUUCUUUUGCCGUUCUAAGCAAAUUUGCAUGUGCCAUCUCUAAUUUUCAAAAUAAACUUCUCUUAAGUGUGUUUGUUUCGCUCGCGAAGCGGUGAGGGGUGGCUAAUAUUUUCCAUGCUCGAUGUGUUAUUCUCACGAUGAGUGUUUAUUCACUUGUCAUUGCACGAGAGUAAGGCAAAGGUUUUAGGGAUGCCCAGUCCCGAAAUGCAAAAAUGAAUUUACUUUAUGUUGUCAAAUAAUAAAUUCCUUGGAAAGUGUUGGUAUGGAGGGCAACCGUGGAUACAGCUAGCCAUGGAAAGUGAAAGUAUGGUGGAAAAAGGAGUUUAUUUUCUGUUUGGGAACCGCCUAUGAUAUAUCUAGCAUGGAAAGUGUUGGGAAUUCUAAGUCCUUUUCAUUGGUGGGAUGGACACACCUCCCAAAAUGUUUUUAUCUCUAAAUUUUUCGCUUUGACCUCUGGCACCUCUACAAAUCCCUACUUCCCUCUGCGAAGGGCCUUUCUUUUACUUUAUGCAAUUUUUAUUUUGAAUUUGAGUCUCCAUCUUCUCUUAUAAAAGCACCAACUAGGAGGCAAUAUGAUCAUACUUGAGUAUUGGGUGUAGCUAAUGUUCGAGUGUGUUUCAUGAAUGGAUCAAUGGUUGAGCAUGAUGGGCUAGGGAUAACUUAUUUUAGCGUUGAUAUUUUGAAAGACAUGGUUGCUUGUUGAUAUGCUUGAGUAUUUAAAUUAUCAUGUCAAAACUAGACUAUUGCUUUGAAUCACAUAAAAGUCCAAAGUCCAUGCUAUAAAGAAAAUAAUAUGAUAUGACAUGUUAGGCAGCAUUCCAGAUCAAAAAUUAUGUUUUUAUCACUUACCUACUCGAGGACGAGUAGGUGUUAAGCUUGGGGAUGCUCAUACGUCUCCAACGUUUCUAUAAUUUUUUAUUGUUCCAUGCUGUUAUAUUAUCAAUCUUGGACGUUUCAUAAUCAUUUUAUAGUCAUUUCACAUCAUUUUUUGGUACUAACCUAUUGACAUAGUGCCAAGUGCCAGUUGUUGUUUUCUGCAUGUUUUUACAUCACAGGAAAUCAAUAUCAGACGGAGUCCAACGCAACAAAACUUCAUGGAGAUUUUUUUGGACCAGAAGGUACAUAAUGGGCCCUGGUUGCGCCUCAGGGGUGCCUCGAGGGGGGCACAACCCACCAGGGCGCGCCAGGAGGCCCAGGCGCGCCCUGGUGGGUUGUACCCACCUCGGGUGCCCCCCGGGCCGCCUCUUUGCUCUAUAAAUACCCCAAUAUUGCCAAAACCCUACGGGAGUCGACGAAAUAUUCAUCCAGCCGCCACAGAUUCCAGAACCACCAGAUCCAAUCUAGACACCAUCUCGGAUGGGGUUCACCACCUCCAUUGGUGCCUCUCCGAUGAUGCGUGAGUAGUUCUUUGUAGACCUUCGGGUCCGUAGUUAGUAGCUAGAUGGCUUCUUCUCUCUCGCUGAAUUUUCAAUACAAUUGUCUCUUGGAGAUCCGUAUGAUGUAACUCUUUUGCGGUGUGUUUGUUGGGAUCUUAUGAACUUUGAGUUUACGAUCAGUUAUAUCUUUUUAUAUCCAUGAAAGUUAUUUGAGUUUCUUUGAUCUCUUAUAUGCAUGAUAUCUUAUAGCCUCGUAUUUCUUCUCCGAUAUUUGGGUUUUGUUUGGCCAACUUGAUCUAUUUAUCUUGCAAUGGGAUGAUGUGCUUUGUAGUGGGUUUGAUCUUACGAUGCUUGAUCCCGGUGAUAGAAGGGGAACCGACACGUAUGUAUCGUUGCUACUUGAUGACCCACAAGUACAGGGGAUAUAUCGUAGUCCUUUCGAUAAGUAAAAGUGUCAAACCCAACGAGGAGCAGAAGGAAAUGACAAGCGGUUUUUAGUAAGGUAUUCUCUGCACGCACUGAAAUUAUCGGUGACAGAUAGUUUUGUGAUAAGGUAAUUUGUAACGGGUAACAAGUAACAAAAGUAAAUAAAGUGCAGCUAGGUGGCCCAAUCCUUUUUGUAGCAAAGGACAAGCCUGGACAAAAUCUUAUAUGAAGGAAAGCGCUCCCGAGGACACAUGGGAAUUAUCGUCAAGCUAGUUUUCAUCACGCUCAUAUGAUUCGCGUUCGUUACUUUGAUAAUUUGAUAUGUGGGUGGACCGCUGGUUGGGUGCUGCCCUUCCUUGGACAAGCAUCCCACUUAUGAUUAACCCAUAUUGCAAGCAUCUGCAACUACAAAAGAAGUAUUAAGGUAAACCUAACCAUAGCAUGAAACAUUUGGAUCCAAAUCAGCCCCUUAUGAAGCAACGCAUAAACUAGGGUUUAAGCUUCUGUCACUCUAGCAACCCAUCAUCUACUUAUUACUUCCCAAUGCCUUCUUCUAGGCCCAAAGAAUGGUGAAGUGUCAUGUAGUCGACGUUCACAUAACACCACUAGAGGAGAGACAACAUACAUCUGAUCAAAAUAUCGAACGAAUACCAAAUUCACAUGACUACUUAUAGCAAGACUUCUCCCAUGUCCUCGGGAACAAACGUAACUACUCACAAAUCAUAUUCAUGUUCAUAAUCAGAGGGGUAUUAAUAUGCAUAAAGGAUCUGAACAUAUGAUCUUCCACCAAAUAAACCAACUAGCAUCAACUACAAGGAGUAAUCAACACUACUAGCAACACACAGGUACCAAUCUGAGGUUUUGAGACAAAGAUUGGAUACAAGAGAUGAACUAGGGUUUGAGAUGAGAUGGUGCUGGUGAAGAUGUUGAUGGAGAUUGACCCCCUCUCGAUGAGAGGAUCAAUGGUGAUGAUUUCCCCCUCCCGGAGGGAUGUUUCCCCGGCAGAACAGCUCUGUCGGAGCCCUAGAUUGGUUUCGCGAGGUUCUGCCUCAUGGCGGCGGCGUUUCGUCCCGAAAGCUUCCUCCUUAUUUUUUUCUCGGACGAAAGACUUCAUAUAGCAGAAGAUGGGCACCGGAGGCCUUCCAGGGGGCCCACGAGACAGGGGGGCGCGCCCCCCACCCUCGUGGCCAGGGUGUGGGCCCCCUCUGGUUGAUUCUUUCUCCAGUAUUUUUUAUAUAUUCCAAAACGUGCCUCUGUGAAGUUUCAUGACUUUUGGAGUUAUGCAGAAUAGGUCUCUAAUAUUUGCUCCUUUUCCAACCCAGAAUUCCAGCUGCCGGCAUUCUCCCUCUUUAUGUAACCCUUGUAAAAUAAGAGAGAAUAGGCAUAAGUAUUGUGACAUAAUGUGUAAUAACAUCCCAUAAUGCAAUAAAUAUCCAUAUAAAAGCAUGAUGCAAAAUGGACGUAUCAACUCCCCCAAGCUUAGACCUCGCUUGUCCUCAAGCGGAAGCCAAUAACGAAAAAUAUGACCACAUGUUUAGAGAUAGAGGUGUCGAUAAAAUAAAAUACGGACAUGAGGGCAUCAUGAUCAUUCUUAUAGCAGCAACAUAUAUAUAUAUAAUGUCAUAUGAUUUCUUAUGCUAAAGUAACAAUCUAUUCACAAUGUCAAGUAUGAAUCAAAAACUUCAUUGAAAACUAAAAAACUAUGAUCUCGGUCAUUGGAGCAAUUGCAAUUUAUCAUAACAUCGGAAAGAGUCAAUAUAAGAGCUUUUCAGCAAGUCCACAUACUCAACUAUCAUUUAGUCUUUCACAAUUGCUAACACUCACGCAAUACUUAUGGGUAUGGAGUUUUAAUCGGACACAGAGAAAGAUAGGGGCUUAUAGUGUUGCCUCCCAACCUUUUACCUCAAGGGUAAUGUCAACAAUAAUAGUUCAUGAUAACUUACAUCCAAUUGGAUAUACAUAUAUAUAUAUAUAUAUAUAUAUAUAUAUAUAUAUAUAUAUCAGGAUCUUUCCAACACAAUGUGCUUGCCAAAGGAUAAAAUAUAAAAAGGAAAAGGUGAAGAUCACCAUGACUCUUGCAUAAGGUAUAAGACAAAAGUAAAAGAUACGCCCUUCACAGAGGGAAGCAGAGGUUGUCAUGUGCUUUUAUGGUUCGAUGCACGAAAUCUUAAUGCAAAAGAACGUCACUUUAUAUUGCCACUUGUGAUAUGGAUCUUUAUUAUGCAGUCCGUCGCUUUUAUUGCUUCCAUAUCACAAGAUUGUAUAAAACUUAUUUUCCCCACACUAAUAAAUCAUACAUAUUUAGAGAGCAGUUUUUAUUGCAUGCAACAAUGACAACUUACUUGAAGGAUCUUACUCAAUCCGUAGGUAGAUAUGGUGGACUCUCAUGGCAAAACUGGGUUUAAGGAUAUUUGGAAGCACAAGUAGUAUCUCUACUUGGUGCAAAGAAUUUGGCUAGCAUGAGGGGGAAAGGCAAGCCCAACAUGUUGGACGAUCCAUGACAAUAUACUUUAUUUCGGAUAUAAGAAAACACAACCCAUUACGUUGUCUUCCUUGUCCAACAUCAACUUUUUAGCAUGUCAUAUUUUAAUGAGUGCUCACAAUCAUAAAAGAUAUCCAAGAUAGUAUAUUUAUAUGUGAAAACCUCUCUUUCUUUAUUACUUCCUAUUAAUUGCAACAAUGACUAAACUAUGUUUGUCAACUCUCAACAACUUUUAUUCAUCAUACUCUUUUAUAUGUGAAGUCAUUACUCUUCAUAAGAUCAUCAUGAUCUCUUUAAUUCUUUUUAUUAUUUUUCUUUUAUUCCCUCUAUAUCAUAGCAAGAUAACCAAGCCCUUGACUCAAAACUAAUCUUUAUUAUAUAUAGCUCAUGGACUCGAUUACAUAGAAGGAUCAUAAAGCAAAACUCAAAACUAGAUCAUACUAAAACUUUAUUCAACUAGAUCAAGAUAUUACCAAAAGGACCGAACUAAGAAAAACGAUAAAGAUAGGAGUGUGAUGGUGAUACGAUACCGGGGCACCUCCCCCAAGCUUGGCAGUUGCUAAGGGGAGUGCCCAUACCCAUGUGAUUAUAUCUCUUUCCUCGGGGGUGGUGAUGAUGGAGUUGUUGAUGAUGUAGGCUUGUCGCCAUCUUCCAAGGCAUAGGCUCACCCUCAUAGAAGGAUGAUCGAGUCUCCGGGAUCCUAGCAUCUGCAGCCAAACUCAUCCUCUUGAAUCUAUAUUCAUACUCAUAGUUUUGGUUUUGCAGGUCAUAGAUCUGGGCUUGGAGAUGCUCAACUUUCUCGUGAAGCUUGAAGAUGGUCUCCCCAAUGUUCUUGGCAUCCAGCUUGUGGUUGUUGGUGAACUCCGCGAUCAUCAUGUGGCUGGCAUUGAGUCCGCAUUCCACCAUCCCCUGGCACUUGAAAACUUGUUGCUCCAUUGCUUCGAGUCUUGUCUCCACGCUUCCGGUCCUCCUUGGUCCCUCGACAUCAUGGAUGUGCAGCAACCCAUCACGCAUCUCAAUUGUUUGAGGGUGUUGCAGCACCUCCGUGAGGUAGGGAUUGAUAACCUUCUCGAAGAACUUGUCCUUGGGAGCGCUUGAAGACGUCAUGAUGAUCUAGAUCUGUCAGAAAAAUAGCUCGAAACAAAAACAGAGGAUAUUUGCGUGGUACGGUGGUCAAAACCUUCGGGAGAUUGUAUAAUGAAUUUUUACCGACUAAAAGAAGUAUCGUGCAAGAAAACGGAGUCCGGAGAGCACACGAGGUGACCACGAGGCAGGGGGCGUGCCCAGGGGAUAGGGCGUGCCCUCCACCCUCGUGGAUGCCUCGUGUCCUUCCCGGACUACUUCUUAUUUUCCUAUUUUUCUUAAAUAUUCCAAAACAGAGAAAAAUUGCUAUUAGAACUGUUUUGGAGUCGGUUUACUUACCGUACCACAUACCUAUUCCUUUUCGGAGUCUGAAAUGUUCUGGAAAGUGUCCCUUAUGUACUCCUCCGGGGUUACGGUAUCAAUAACAUUAGUUUCAACAUUUAUGGGAUUACCUGAGAUAUAAUGUUUGAUUCUUUGACCGUUCACCACCUUCGGAUUUGUGCCCUCGAAGUUGUUGAUUUUUAUGGCGCCGGAGUGAUAGACCUCCUCGAUAACGUAAGGACCUUCCCAUUUAGAGAGGAGUUUUCCUACAAAAAAUCUUAAAUGAGAGUUGUAUAGCAAAACAUAAUCACCUACAUUAAACUCACACUUUUGUAUCCUUUUGUCAUGCCACCUUUUAACUUUUUCUUUAAACAGUUUGGCAUUCUCAUAGGCUUGGGUUCUCCACUCAUCAAGUGAGCUAAUGUCAAAUAGCCUCUUCUCACCGGCAAGUUUGAAAUCAUAAUUGAGCUCUUUAAUGGCCCAAUAUGCCUUAUGUUCUAGUUCGAGAGGUAGGUGACAUGCUUUUCCAUAAACCAUUUUAUACGGAGACAUACCCAUAGGAUUUUUAUAUGCAGUUCUAUAAGCCCAUAAUGCAUCAUCAAUUUUCUUGGACCAAUUCUUUCUAGAUCUAUUAACAGUCUUUUGCAAAAUUAAUUUGAGCUCUCUAUUACUAAGUUCAACUUGACCACUAGACUGCGGGUGAUAUGGAGAUGCAACUCUAUGAUUGACAUCAUACUUAGCAAGCAUUUUACGAAAAGCACCAUGAAUAAAAUGUGAACCACCAUCAGUCAUUAAGUAUCUAGGGACUCGAAACCUUGGAAAAAUAACUUCCUUAAGCAUCUUAAUAGAGGUGUUAUGAUCAGCACUACUAGUUGGAAUAGCUUCUACCCACUUAGUAACAUAAUCAACAGCAACUAAAAUAUGUGUAUACCCAUUAGAGGAAGGAAACGGUCCCAUAUAAUCAAAGCCCCAAACAUCAAAUGGUUCAAUAACAAGUGAAUAGUUCAUAGGCAUUUCUUGACGUCUACUAAUAUUACCAAUUCUUUGACAUUCAUCACAAGACAAGACAAACUUACGAGCAUCUUUGAAGAGAGUAGGCCAAUAAAAACCGGAUUGCAAUACCUUAUGUGCAGUUCUAUCUCCAGUGUGGUGUCCUCCAUAAGCCUCGGAGUGACACUUGCGUAGGAUAUGUUCCUGUUCAUGCUCAGGUACACAAUGUCUAAUAACACCAUCUACUACUUCUUCGUAAAGGUGUGGGUCAUCCCAGAAGUAAUGUCUUAAAUCAUAGAAAAACUUUUUCUUUUGCUGGUAUGUGAAACUAGGUGGUAUAAAUUUAGCAACAAUGUAAUUAGCAUAAUCAGCAUACCAUGGAGCAGUACGAGAAGCAUUUAUGACAGCUAAUUGUUCAUCAGGAAAGUUAUCAUCAAUAGGUAGUGGGUCAUCAAGAACAUUCUCUAACCUAGAUAAGUUGUCUGCAACGGGGUUCUCAGCUCCCUUUCUAUCUAUAAUAUGCAAAUCAAAUUCUUGUAGUAGGAGAACCCAUCUAAUAAGUCUAGGUUUAGCAUCUUUCUUUUCCAUGAGAUAUUUAAUAGCAGCAUGAUCAGUGUGAACAGUUACUUUAGAAUCAACAAUAUAAGGUCUGAACUUAUCACAAGCAAAUACAACUGCUAAAAAUUAUUUUCAGUAGUAGCGUAAUUUCUCUGGGCACUGUCUAGAGUUUUACUAGCAUAUUGGAUAACAUUUAAUUUAUUAUCAACUCUUUGUCCUAAAACAGCACCUACAACAUAAUCACUAGCAUCACGCAUAAUUUCAAAGGGUAAAUUCAAAUCAGGUGGCUGAACAAUAGGUGCAGAAAUCAAGGCUUUCUUAAGUAUUUCAAAUGCUUCUACACAAUCAUCAUCAAAGACAAAAGGAACAUCUUUUUGUAAGAGAUUAGUCAGAGGCCUAGAAAUUUUUGAGAAGUCUUUAAUGAACCUCCUAUAAAAACCGGCAUGACCAAGGAAACUUCUUAUACCUUUAAUGUCCUUAGGACACGACAUCUUUUCAAUAGCAUCAACUUUAGCUUUAUCGACUUCAAUACCUCUUUCAGAAAUUUUGUGCCCCAGGACAAUACCUUCAUUAACCAUAAAGUGGCACUUCUCCCAAUUCAAGACAAGAUUAGUUUCUUCACAUCUCUGCAAAACUCGAUCAAGGUUGCUCAAGCAAUCAUCAAAAGAAGUUCCAUAUACAGAGAAGUCAUCCAUGAAAACCUCAACAAUCUUUUCACAAAAAUCAGAGAAUAUAGCCAUCAUGCAUCUUUCAAAGGUAGCAGGUGCAUUGCAUAAACCAAAAGGCAUACGUCUAUAAGCAAAGGUACCGAAAGGGCAAGUAACAGUGGUCUUUUCUUGAUCCUCUUUUGACACAGGUAUUUGAGAGAAACCAGAAUAACCAUCUAGAAAGCAAAAAUGCGUAUGUUUGGAUAAUCUUUCUAGCAUUUGAUCAAUAAAAGGUAAGGGGUAAUGAUCCUUUUUAUUAGCUUUAUUUAGUUUGCGAAAAUCAAUUACCAUUCUAUAACCUGUAGCAAUUCUUUGUGGGAUCAAUUCGUCUUUAUCAUUAGGAACAACAGUAAUACCUCCCUUCUUAGGGACACAAUGGACAGGACUUACCCACUGACUAUCAGCAACGAAAUAAAUUAUACCUGCCUCCAGAAGCUUUAGUAUUUCUUUUCUUACCACUUCUUUCAUCUUAGGAUUUAACCGUCGUUGGUGAUCAACAACUGGUUUAGCGUCUUUCUCCAAUUUUAUUUUGUGCUGGCAUAGAGUGGGAUUAAUGCCCUUAAGAUCAAGAAGAGUAUACCCAAUAGCAGCACGUUGCUUCUUCAGAGUUUUCAAUAAUUUCUCUUCUUCCUGCUCUGAAAGGUUAGCACUAAUAAUAACAGGAUAUAUCUUCUUUUCAUCAAGAUAAGCAUAUUUAAGAGUAUCAGGUAAUGGUUUCAGCUCAAACACAGGAUCACCCUUGGGUGGAGGAGGAUCCCCUAGAAUCUCAACAGGCAAGUUGUGUUUCAAAAUAGGUCUCUGUUUAAGGAAUACCUCAUCUAUUUCCCUUCUUUCAUUCAUAAACAUAUCAUUUUCAUGGUCUAGCAAAUAUUGCUCUAAAGGAUCAUUAGGAGGCACGGCAAUAGAAGCAAGACCAAUAAUGUCAUCUUUACUAGGCAAUUCUUUAUCAUGGGGUUGUCUACGAAAUUUAGCAAAAUUAAACUCAUGAGACAUAUCCCCUAAACCAAUAGUAACAACAUCCUUUUUGCAAUCUAUCUUAGCAUUAACAGUAUUCAAGAAGGGCCUACCAAAUAUAAUGGGACAAAAGUCAUCUUGUGGGGAACCAAGAACAAGAAAAUCAGUAGGAUAUUCAACUUUCCCACACAAGAAUUCAACAUCUCUAACAAUCCCAAUUGGUGAAAUAGUAUCUCUAUUGGCAAGCUUAAUUAUAACAUGAAUCUCUUCUAUCUCAGCAGGUCUCUAAUUAAGAUUGCCAAUAGAGAUAUUAUGCAUGAUAUUGAAGUCAUGCAUAAUUUCUUUGUAUAAGGAAUGAGGUAUUGCACUUGCACUAGCACCCAUACCACAUAAGCCAUGAUAGAAAUGAUCUCCUAUUUUAACAGAAACAACAGGCAUGCCAACAACAGGUCUAUGUUUACCCUUAGUAUCGGGUCUAGCAAUUCUAGCAGCUUCAUCACAGUAGAUAACAUGCCCAUCAAUAUUAUCUACCAAGAGAUCUUUAACCAUAGCAAUACUAGGUUCGACUUUAAUUUGCUCAGGGGGUGUAGGUGUUCUAGUAUUACUCUUAUGAAUCACAGUUGAAACUUUAGCAUGAUCCUUUAUUCUAACAGGGAAAGGUGGAUUCUCAAUAUAAGCGGUAGGAACAAUAGGAUCAACAUUAUAAGUGAUAGUCUUUUCUUCAACUUUAAUAGGUUCAACUACUUUUACUUCAAUGGGAAGAUGAUAUUUAAACCACUUCUCCUUAGGGAGAUCAACAUGAGUAGCAAAGGAUUCACAGAAAGAAGCUACUAUCUCAGAGUCAAGUCCAUAUUUAGUGCUAAAUUCAUGGAAAACAUCAGUGUCCAUAAAAGAUUUAACACAAUCAAACUUAGGUGUUAUACCUGACUCCUUACCUUCGUUGAGGUCCCAACCUUCAUAGUUGCAUUUAAUUCUUUCCAGUAAAUCCCAUUUGAAUUCAAUAGUCUUCAUCAUAAAAAACCAGUACAAGAAGUAUCGAGCAUGGAGCGAUUAUUGAGAGAAAGCCAAGCAUAAAUUUUUUGAAUAAUAAUUUCUCUUGAGAGCUCAUGAUUGGGGCAUGAAUAUAACAUUGAUUUAAGCCUUCCCCAAGCUUGAGCGAUGCUUUCUCCUUCGCGAGGCCAAAAAUUAUAUAUACAAUUACGAUCACGAUGAACAAGAUGCAUAGGAUAAAACUUCUGAUGAAAUUCUAAUUUCAAUCGGUUGUAGUUCCAUGAUCCCAUAUCAUCACAUAGCCUAAACCAUGUCAAUGCCUUUCCCUUCAAAGAUAAAGGGAAGACCAUCUUCUUGAUAACAUCCUCAGGCAUACCUGCAAGCUUAAAUAAUCCACAAAGUUCAUCCACAUAUAUUAGGUGCAAAUCGGGAUGUAAUGUUCCAUCUCGUGUAAAAGGAUUAGCUGGCAGUUUCUCUAUCAUACCCGAAGGAAUUUCAAAGUAAACAUUUUCAGUAGGUUCAGUAGGUUGAGGAUCAACUCCUUGUUCUACUGGUCGGGGUGAAGAUACCCCGAACAAGCCCCUCAAAGGAUUAUGUUCCAUAGUAACAAGUGACAGUAAAUUUCAGCAAACUAUAUAAUUUGUUCCUUACCAAAGGCGCUUCACUCCCCGGCAACGGCGCCAGAAAAGAGUCUUGAUGACCCAGAAGUAUAGGAGAUCUAUCGUAGUCCUUUCGAUAAGUAAGAGUGUCCAACCCAACAAGGAGCAGAAGGAAAUGACAAGCGGUUUUCAGUAAGGUAUUCUCUGCAAGCACUGAAAUUAUCGGUGACAGAUAGUUUUGAUAAGGUAAUUUGUAACGGGUAACAAGUAACAAAAGUAAAUAAAGUGCGGCGAGGUGGCCCAAUCCUUUUUGUAGCAAAGGACAAGCCUGGACAAACUCUUAUAUGAAGGAAAGCGCUCCCGAGGACACAUGGGAAUUAUCGUCAAGCUAGUUUUCAUCACACUCAUAUGAUUCGCGUUCGUUACUUUGAUAAUUUGAUAUGUGUGUGGACCGGUGCUUGGGUGCUGCCCUUCCUUGUACAAGCAUCCCACUUAUGAUUAACCCCUAUUGCAAGCAUCCACAACUACAAAAGAAGUAUUAAGGUAAACCUAACCAUAGCAUGAAACAUGUGGAUCCAAAUCAGCCCCUUACGAAGCAACACAUAAACUAGGGUUUAAGCUUCUGUCACUCUAGCAACCCAUCAUCUACUUAUUACUUCCCAAUGCCUUCCUCUAGGCCCAAAUAAUGGUGAAGUGUCAUGUAGUCGACGUUCACAUAGCACCACUAGAGGAGAGACAACAUAUAUCUCAUCAAAAUAUCGAACGAAUACCAAAUUCACAUGACUACUUAUAGCAAGACUUCUCCCAUGUCCUCAGGAACAAACGUAACUACUCACAAAUCAUAUUCAUGUUCAUAAUCAGAGGGGUAUUAAUAUGCAUAAAGGAUCUGAACAUAUGAUCUUCCACCAAAUAAACCAACUAGCAUCAACUACAAGGAGUAAUCAACACUACUAGCAACCCACAGGUACCAAUCUGAGGUUUUGAGACAAAGAUUGGAUACAAGAGAUGAACUAGGGUUUGAGAUGAGAUGGUGUUGGUGAAGAUGCUGAUGGAGAUUGACCCCCUCCCGAUGAGAGGAUCGAUGGUGAUGAUUUCCCCCUCCCGAAGGGAUGUUUCCUGGCAGAACAGCUCUGCCGGAGCCCUAUAUUGGUUUCGCCAGGUUCCGCCUCGUGGCGGCGGUGUUUCGUCCCGAAAGCUUCCUCCUUAUGUUUUCUUGGACGAAAGACUUCAUAUAGCAGAAGAUGGGCACUGGAGGCCUACCAGGGGGCCCACGAGACAGGGGGCACGCCCAGGGGGUAGGGCGCGCCCCCCACCCUCGUGGCCAGGGUGUGGGCCCCCUCUGGUUGAUUCUUUCUCCAGUAUUUUUUAUAUAUUCCAAAACGUGCCUCCAUGAAGUUUCAGGACUUCUGGAGUUGUGCAGAAUAGGUCUCUAAUAUUCGCUCCUUUUCCAGCCCAGAAUUCCAGCUGUCGGCAUUCUCCCUCUUUAUGUAACCCUUGUAAAAUAAGAGAGAAUAGGCAUAAGUAUUGUGACAUAAUGUGUAAUAACAGCCCAUAAUGCAAUAAAUAUCGAUAUAAAAGCAUGAUGCAAAAUGGACGUAUCACUACUAAGGAUAAAAUGAUGGGGUCUAUCACUACAUAGAUAGAUCUUGUCUACAUCAUGUCGUCAUUCUUAUUGCAUUACUCCAUUUCUCCAUGAACUUAAUACACUAGAUGCAUGCUGGAUAGUGGUCGAUGUGUGGAGUAAUAGUAGUAGAUGCAGGCAGGAGUCGGUCUACUAAUCUUGGACGUGAUGCCUAUAUAAUGAUCAUUGCCUGGAUAUCGCCAUGAUUAUUUGAAGUUCUAUCAAUUUCCCAACAGUAAUUUGUUCACCCACCAUUUGCUAUUUUUCUCGAGAGAAGCCACUAGUGAAACCUACGGCCCCCGGCUCCCUUUCUCAUAUAUUUGCCUUUGCGAUCUACUUUUCCUUUGCAUUUAUCAGAUCUAUAAACCAAAAAUACUUUGUUGCACUUUAUUUUAUUUGCGAUCUAUUUAUUCAAUCCAUUACACUUUUUCCCGUCCGCACGCCGUUCCUGGCGUUGUUACCCGGAAGGGAUUGACAACCCCUUUAACACGUCGGGUUGCGAGGUGUUGUUAUUUGUGUGCAGGGGAUGUUUACGUUGUGUUGCUUGGUUGUAGCGACCCAACCCGAAUGGAUCAAGUCUCUGUGCUUAAGUGUCAUCCCUGGAUCGGUAUGCUGACACACACAGUACUCGAGGAUUUAUAACAGAGGUAAAUCACAUGUAUAAAAUAACGUAAAUACUAUUACCUCAAUCCAAAUAGCGGAAGUAACAAGGUUGUGGAUUCCCAUCAACACCAACGGCAAAGUUGAGUGUAGAAAUCGUAACCCUAACGUAUCACUUACUCGUCGUAAGAAUCCUGCAAAAUGAAACGUUGCAGCCCGAAAACGGGUCAGUACAUUGAAUGUACUGGCAAAUUCACACCAUAGAGAAAUGAUGAACAAAGGCUAUCACUACAUGCAUAUAUGGCUGGUGGAAAAGCUCUAUGGUUAUAAUGUUUUUGCGAAAAGCCAGUUUUUCCCUACUUCAAAGGAAUAAAUUUUAUUUAACUUCAUGGUGGUUGUGAAACAUUGAGAUGGUUGACAGCAUCUCAAUCCCAAUUAAGUAUCAUCAUUAACCCAACAAUAUUAAUUAAAGUAACAUGAUGAGAUCAACGGGAUAAUCCAAGAACUAGAUACUCAAGAUGUCCAUAACCGGGGACACGGCUAAUCAUGAUUAGUUUGUACACUCUGCAGAGGUUUGCGCACUUUUCCCCACAAGACUCGAUCGCCUCCGCUUGAUUCUCGCACUGCAUGAUGUUUGAGAAACGGAUGACCGAGACACAGUCUUUUAGGAACAAUCACUCUUUACUCCGGGUGGACCGGUACACCUACUUUCCCCUACAUCUGCUAGCCCACCUCUUCAAGAGAUCAUGUAACCUACUCAACUAUGCUAGAGCCCAUAAUAGCUUGUGGCUGCACACGGAAGUUUCUAGCAUGAAUAAUCUUAUGAUCCCUUUGAGCCUGGGUGGCGGUCCUUAUACAAACAGACAACACUGGGUUCUCCAGGUGCCUCAAUCCACCCAGAUGUGAGUUUUAGUUGCCACCUUAAGUUGAACCAUUAAUUAACAAUCUCACAUCUGUCAUGGAAAAUUCACUCAAACCCAAUCCACGUCUACGAGCAUAGCAUAGCAAUAUAAGCAAACGUAGAAGUAACUCCCAAGGGUUUGAUAGUAAACAGGGCAAUAGGUACUACCUCAUCUACUACUCCCUCCGUCCGAAAAUACUUGUCGGAGAAAUGCAUAAAAAUGAAUGUAUCUAGAACUAAAAUACAUCUAGAUACAUGCAUUCCUCCGACGAGUAUUUCCGGACGGAGGGAGUACUUCCCAAUACCCACAUGUUAUCAAUCCUACUCAUGCAAUGUUUGAGGAUUGAAUCUAAUGCAUAAAAACUGGGUAUGAAAGGGGUAUGAUCAAAGUGUGAACUUGCCUGCAAUGUUGAUGAAGAUGAUUCGCACUCAAUACUCUGGAUAGAUCUACUCGUCACACUCCGGUCAAUCUAUCGCAAGCAAGCAAUAGUAACCACACAUAAGCAAUCACUCAAAAGAUCGAGAAGAACGAAGAAGACGAUUCGGGAAACAUCAAAACCAAGCAAAUAACUCUUGCAACAUAAAACAAUUUCUAACAGUACCAAAAUUAUAUGAAUUUGGCCUUAUCAGAAAGUUUAGGUCAAGAGCUUCGAUUUGCAAAAAGAAUCAACUAAAUCGGAACUACGAAACUUAAGUUAUGAACAAAAGAAGUUCAAAUACAAAUCUGUUUGAAAUGAAAUUUUAAAACUUUUAAAAACAUGUUUAAGUUGUUUUACUGGAUAGAGGGGAUCGUAACGAAAAAGUGGGCGUUGGUUUCAUCGAAAACGGAGGUACGGAUAAAAAGAUAUGAUCAAAAGAAAUUUGAGUUAUGGCUAUUUGAAAAAUCAGGGUCAAACUGUUUUGUAGAAGAAAAAAAAAUAGCUACGGAUAAAAAAAAAAUCUAGAUCUGACGUAUAAAUACAGAGAACGAAUAAAUAUACCUUUAUAAGGUAUAGAAAAGACGACUUCGGAGUAAGGAGACAACUUCCAAAAGUCCCGCCCGAGAGGAGAAAUAUAUUUUUAGCUAGUCAAACCAAAAUAUUGAUUUAACCCGCAAUGGAUAAUUUUUGAAGGCUCUAUGGGUCUAUAUUUAUAGGUGGAAAAGAGGUUUAGAGGUUAAAGGCUAGGCAAUGUGGGACUAAACGUAGACGAAUAAAUAAAAUAAACGGGGAACGCAUGGGUUAAAAGCACCACAGGCCGGCUGCGCGCGCACGCGUACACUGCAGUUUUUUUUUUAACAAAAAUCGGCCUAAGUAAAAAUAAAUAAAAAGGAUGGCUGGGCCUGGCCCAUUUAGGAGAGGGAAAAACAAAUGAGGCGCCCGCUGCCACUAUGCUACGCGUGUGGGCGGUAAAUAACUAUGGGCCGCAUGUACAGUUUUUUUUUAAAUUGAAACUGAAGGAAAACCGGAUAAAGAAAAUAAAUUAAAAUUUUAUAUAGGCAUAUUAUAUAUCAAAAUUUUCAGAAAAAGAUUUUCUACAACAUGAACAUUUUUGUAAAGUCAAAUAAAAUCCUCACAAAUUUAAAUAAAGCAAAGAGUGCUACUGCCUUAAUAAAAUCCAAUAAAAAUCAUUUUAAAAAUACCAAAAUGAUUUCAAAUUUAUUUUUCUCAAAUUUUCUGAUGUAGGGAAUCAUGUUACCCUAUGUUCUGUAUAUUUUUAUUUUGGAGAAAGAUAAUUUGACUAAAACUCAAAUAACUCAGAUUUUGAAAAAUAAUUUCAAUGGGACUUUGAAUUUAAUCCUUUGAAACUCCCAACUCCUAUUUCAUAUAUUUUGAAGAAGUCAUUUUAUCUUCUCUGGUGAAAAUCAUUGAGUUGCAUAAAGUUUCGGAAUUGGAAAUAUUUUCAAAUGAUAUUCAAAUAUUUUCAACACCCCUUGUCAUUUAAAUAAAUGGAAGAAGUCAUGUCAUCUUCUCUCCAGGGUUUUGUGGUGAAAAGAAUUUGAAUUCAUGGAGAUCAUAAAAGCAAAAUGAAAGUUUGGGAAAGUCCUUUUAUUCCCUCUCAUUUAACUUUCAAAAAGUUUCGAAUUCCACUCAAUUUCACUCAAUCAAUCAAACAAUCAAUCCAAUCUAUCUGUUUAUUAUAACAUUCCAAAAUUUAGAAUUUUGGGAUGUUACAUUGGUUCUCCUACUGGUUCGAUAACCUUGGUUUCAUAUCUAAGGGACCUACCUCCGCUGUGCUGCAUCAUCCCUUCCUCUUUGGGGAAAUACCGACGUAGCUUCAAGCGACAUCAAGGACCCUACAGGUUUCUCCGCCCUCGGUGAGACGCCACACUUGUUCCUUCUCAUCCUAACACAGGAUUUUAAAACAUGCACAGUAUGUUCCUAGAAUCCUCUUUUCUAUCCAGGAUGGUGGGGGUUUUUGAACAUGUUGUCGCCUAAUUUGGAAAAUUGGAUUGCUAUAUUUUGAUAAAAGGUACUAGUACCAUGGUCAACACUAACGUGAAGGAGGAAAUUAUUUCUAGAUUUGGAUAGCGAAUACAUUGUGUUCUCAUAUUAUUUUUUCGGCAGUGCAUUCCUUGCUCUGCCAGAACACAUGUACUAAAGAUGGUUGGCCUUGCCAUAACUGAAUACACCAGUUUAAUGGUCACAUUGAAGACAAGCCAUGGAUAUAAGUUCCGAGUUGGGUUCAUGAACCAAGAAGAUCGCUGCUUUUUUUAUGGCCGAACUUGGAUAAACUUUCUCAAGUGUUACAGACUGAAAGUUGGCGCACGAAUGUUGAUGGAAAUAGCAAAACCUGGUCUCAUCUUCACUAUGAUCUUCCACCCCGACGUCGUUCUAGUAGUUCAUCCAUGUUAGUUUUGUAUCUGGUUCUUGCUUGUUGCCUCGAUUACUUCUUAAUCGACCUAUUCUAUCUAACUAAUCCAAUUUAACUUUAGAAGUAGCAACGAUUUGUGAUUCCCUUCUCUCACGAAGAUGCUACUUCUAACUAAUAUUUCAUAAAAUUGGUGGCACGUGUAGGUUAUUUCAAAGUUAAGCAUGCUACUCGUUUGUUAUUCUAUAAGAACUCGACUGUUACUGACGGCACUGAAGUUGACUAGGACGACAUCCACAAGUUCCUACACUUUAUUGAUCGUCUUGAGGUCCUUGUGGGGCGUCUCGAUGGUGGAAGGGCAUGUGGGAUAUGUGUGCCGCUGCUACAGACGUUGAACAGGUCCAACUGUGUCGAGAAACUUAUGGCAUGAGCUGUUUUCUGUUAUAUAUGUUGUUCAUAAACUCUUGCUUAUACACAGUUUUAUAGUUGUGAUCUUCUUGAAACAGAAACUGCCCAGUUCUAUUGUUCCUAUGUAGAUGCCUGACCAUGGUCCGGUCAGACUUGCGCUUGGUCACAACAUGAUGUUCAUGUCGACCUACUCCAUUCCCCUUGGAGGUGAAAAGAUACUUAUUCAUGGGUGGUCUCAAAUAAUGAAGGCUCGUCCAUCUUGGAGAAUAGGACAGAAGGUUAUGCUCAUGCUUUUCCAUGGCUCUAAAGCGAAUAUCCUGUUUAUUGACCACAUUGCGAGAUGAAGCCGCUUUCAGAAGGUUGUGGAUGCGCGGGGUGGCGCCUGGGCCUUGUCCUGGGGCUUGGUGGCCUCACCCUUGGUUAAUUGUAGGCAAAGUAGCAUUGUUGCUUUGUACGGUUGAACCUGUAUAAGUACUCAUACUGCUUUCAGCUAUGGUUGUUAAGUGCCCCUGCUGGUUUCAGUUAAGGUUGUUAAGUACUCCUGCUGCUUUUACAGUCUGUCGUGUUUCUUUAGUCCUGUCUUCCUCCAGCCGCCAAAACCAAACCAUCGCUGGCGGAGCCGCCUGCUUCUGCCUCCCACGGCUGGUUGUGCCUCAGCGCACGCAUCGCCGCCCCACCAUCUCCUAAAUCGUCAACGCCGACGUCCGAGGCCUCACCGUCAUCCUCCGCGUGCUUUGGUGCGCUCGCCGCGGCCCCGCCCUCUCGCAUUGUCAACAUGGUCAACAAACAGGAGGAAUCGGGAGAGGACUGUACAUGGAGAUGAUGACAGUAGGGGCCCACCAUGUCCAUGACCGUACGCAAGGAAGUUCCUCAUUUUUUGUUAUAUAUACUCCAUUAUCAGCGUAUAGAAAAAGAAAAUGCCUCCCCCUAGUGGUUUCCUGACAUCUGGGACCCACGACAUUGUCAGCGUAUAUAGUCAAUAGACAAGAGAACAACACAAGAUCGGCUGACACCUGGGACGUUGCUGCUCGAGCAGUAUUUUUUUGUUAUUGUUGAGAAGGAGCAGGGUUUCAACUGGGCUGUGGCCUGUCUAGCCCAGGCUUAUAUUUUACGUUCACCACAUGACCAGCCCAACUAUUUUUUCUUUGUGAAAAUGAGCCCAGUUUAUUUUUUUUGAAGAAUACCCAAUCCAGGCCUACUUAUUUUUCUACGCCCUGAUGGGCUGCAACUCUUUCAAGACGGCUGCAAAUCUUGAAAGUAAUAUGAAAUGGGCUGUAUAUAAAAAACAGACGACAAAUCGUCAAUUACUUUAUAUUUUCUGAAAAAAAUCACAUUUUCAGAUUCCAAUUUCACUGGGCUUUAACCUAAUUUAAAUAUGUCUUCAAAGUACUUUAAAUCUGGCUCGACAUUUCGGUAUUAAACAUAGUUUGGACCCCAUCGAAAUAUGCGAAAGUUCGUUUAAAUUUUUAACCCUGGCCCUGGCCAACAAAAAAAUGGACUGCAAUAAAUUGCAUAAGAAGUUGCAAUGAGGUGUAAAUUAUUAAAAAAAAUAGGUAAUGGUCUGGCUUGUGGGCCUAUUAAGUUGACGCGUACGCAAGAUUUUUUUACUUAUUAUAUACGUCAACAAACGAUUCUAGCAGACGUAACCGUUGGAUGUCAAUCCAACGUCCGUCGUGCUUCUUCAAUCUCUGAUCUUCUUGCUCCAGCCGCCAAAUCCAGCGCCGGUGGGACCGCCUGCUCCCGCCUCCCGUGCCCGGCUAUGCUGCCGCGCAGGCCUCACCGCCCCCUACUACUCCCACCGCUGGCCAGGCCAUCCCUCUACUCAUCCACAUCCCUCCACUGUUGUGGCUUCGCCGCCUCCGGGUCAUUUCCUUCCCGGGUCUCGCCGUCGUCCAUCGCGCUGGUGUUCUCGGCACGACAUGGUCAACGUUAUCAACAAACGACAACAUUGGAAGAGGGAUGUACAUGGAGAGGCUGACAGUUGGGACCCACAUGGUCCAUGGCCGCAUGCAAGCAAGUACCUCCUUAUUACACCAAAACGAAUGAAUCCUCCCAAUGACAGUUGGGACCCACCAGCUAUAUCUUGGCACAGAAGGAAGUGCCUCCUUAUUAAGCAAAAAAUAAUGAGUGCUCCCCAUGACAGCUGGGGCCCACCAGAUUUGGAGGCUGACUUGUGUCCCUACUAAGUUGACGCGUACGGAGGGCGUUGUCAACUUAGUCAACAAACGAUUCUAUCACGAGUGACCAUUGGAUUGUUAACAUCCAACGGUCGUCCUGAUUCUUCAACCUCUGAUUUUCUUGCUCUAGCCGUCCAAACCACCAUGUGCUCCUACCUCCCGUGGUCGGCUGUGCUGUCAUGGAGGCCUCACCGCCCCCUACUACUCCCGCCGCUGGCCAUGCCAUUCCUCUACUCACCCACACCCCCUGUUAUUCUGCGGUGAUGGCGGCCUUACACCGCAGCCGAACCAGUCAACCCUCGUACUCCUCUCUGCGUGGGCACCCACUGCCGCGUCUUCCCCGGCUCCGCGUCGUCCCCUUCCUAGGCCUCGCCGUCGUCCACCGUCUUGGUGCUCUUGGCGCGGCGUGGUCAAUGUGGUCAAGGAACGACUUCCAUCCGAAGAGUACUGUACGUGGAGAGGCUGACAGCUGGGUCCAUGGCUGCAGCAAGGAAGUGCAACCUUAUUAUGCUAAAAUAAUUAUUCCUCCACCUGACAGCAGGGACCCACUGUACGGGCCACCGUAUUUCAUGAAAAAAAAAACGUUCCCCCUGACUGCUGGGGCCCACCAGCUACAUCUUCGCACGCAAGGAAGUGCGUCCAUAUUACCGGCAAAAAAAUGAUUCUCCCCCUGACAGCUGGGACCCACCAGCAAUGACUUCGCACGCAAGGAAGUGCCUCCUUAUCUUCCCUGACAGUCGGGACCCACCUGGUCGAAGCAUACAUAGCAUUGUCAUUCUGGUCGUGAGCAUGUACGUACAUACUGGUCGAUCGGUCUGUCUACGGGCUGCAGCGAUGAACCGAGUAAGGAAGGGCACGUGUCAUUGUAGAGGCGCGGACGUAGCAUGUCACGCAGUCCCGUCAAUAUCGUGUACACAUACGUACAGCCGGGGUGCAAGAAAGUAAAUACGGCCACGUACGUACAUAAGGGCGGGGUCUCGAACGCCUACUCGCACAUACGUACGACCAGGGCUUGUGUACAUGGAGAGGGCAGCGGAGGGCAGCGACGGCGUCCUGUUCAUCGACAGCCAACCAACUGGGUCAGAACGGAGAAACUAUGUCAUUGUGUUCAUCGGGAGGCAAUGGAAUGCGUCCUGUUCAUUGGGAGCCAACCGCCUUGGACGGAACAGCCGAAACGAGGCCUGGUGUACCGUAGAACGAAGGAAACGGCCUUGUGUUCGACCGCCUACGGUCGAAACGGGAUCCUGUUCAACGGGAGGGGUCUGGCAUACCGCAAAACGUAGGAAACAGACUUCUCUUCGACCUCCUACGGUCAAAACGGGGUCCUGUUGAUCGGGAGGGGUAUGGCGUACCGCAAAACAGAGCAAACAGACUUCUCUUCAACCUCCUACGGUUGAAACGGGGGUCCUGUUCAUCGGGAGGGGUGUGGCGUACCGCAAUACGGGACUCCACGGGCUACUGUUCACCCACCGUCUACUGCCUCGCUCCAGCCUCCACGGGCUACUAUUCAUCCACCGUCGACCUCCUCCAACCUCCACCUGCGACUGUUCAUCCACGGUGUCUCCCUCCUGCAUCCACCAGCUACUGUUCAUCCACGGGCUCGUGUUCAUCCAGCCUCCACCGGCUACUGUUCAACCAACCCUCCACGGGCUACUAUUCAUCCAGCCCUCCACUGGCUACUAUUCAACCAGCCCUCCACGGGGUCCUGCUCAUCCACCCCCAACCGGCUCGAUCGGGGUCAUGUACAUCCAACCCCCACCGGGAACUGUUCAUCCAACCCCCAACAACGCUCACUGUUCAUCAAGAGGCAGCAGGUUCGAUCGGCUUCAGUUAGCAGCAGUAGCGAAGGAAUCGCUCGAUCGGGUUCAGUUAACAGCCACAGAUCGAUCGGUCGCUCGGGUUCAGUAACACGUAGCCUGCAGUGCAAUCGCUCGGGUUCAGUUAGAGCCCAACGCCUCGCACCCACGUGUGUAUGUGUACGAGAGAAACGUGUAAUCCCUCCAUGCAUCGCUUGGCCCCGACCACCCAUCGUAAUCAGGAACUCCCCGAUAUUUUCCUCGCCCUCGCUUCUACCACGGUUUUUCCGUCAUGGACGGCCCAAAGAAUGUCGUGCAGCUGUGUCUCCAGCCCGCCCAGGACGAAAAACCCAUUUUCUAUCAUGAUUUUUGUCAUAGAAGUAGGAGCCCACCACAUCUAUGAUGAUACAGGGUUUUGUCACAAUUAUCGUCAUAGAAGUGUCAUAAGCAUGACAGAAAAAAAAUCGUUCGGCCCAAAAUGUCAUGGAUGUGUCUUAUUUUUGUAGUGCUACCACCCAGAGGGCUCGAUAAUAGGCAAGGUUCGGAUAAUUAAACACAAUCCAAACUACUUUGAAACACUAGAUGGGCCAACUAUUUCAUGCCAUCGAUCUAAUUUGGGAUGGACACAAGACAGACCUUGCCAUGGACAUCAUCGAGGACGACCGGCAGUAGCUCAAUCCUGUCAACCUUCUUGAAGAUAACCUUGUGGCCUUGCCACUCAUAAACUUGUUUAUCGAGGCAUGCCACGUGAUCUUUCUGUGUAAGCUUGACAAGAACAGUAUGCCUCACAAACGAAGGAGUAGCUUUGAAAUUCUUGUGCUUCAGUACACCCUGGACAACAUGCCUGACAACAGUGUGGCUGGAAUACAUCUCGACUUUGGUAUAAGUGCAACUGGCUUCCAGGAUCCAACAACCAAAGAACUUUGUUUUCCCAGUGCGUAUAUUUUGGUCAUCCGCCUCAUAGCGAGUGGCAUGUAGAACCACAGAAUCCUUGUCUGCAUAAGGGCUCUAAUUGAAACAGAAACGAAUUCUGAAUUACUUUCCUAUAUAAAAACACAAGUUAUUUAAACCACUAUGUAGAGUCAAAAGUAUGCAUGACAUGGAAGGUGGCAUGGCAUCAGAGCUAAUAAAAUCUUGCAUUAUUUAUCACCACAUACUUAGAUGAAAAACUACAAUCAAGAUCAGCAAAGAAGAAAAUCACCUUGGGCAGCUCAGCGGGGGNNNNNNNNNNNNNNNNNNNNNNNNNNNNNNNNNNNNNNNNNNNNNNNNNNNNNNNNNNNNNNNNNNNNNNNNNNNNNNNNNNNNNNNNNNNNNNNNNNNNNNNNNNNNNNNNNNNNNNNNNNNNNNNNNNNNNNNNNNNNNNNNNNNNNNNNNNNNNNNNNNNNNNNNNNNNNNNNNNNNNNNNNNNNNNNNNNNNNNNNNNNNNNNNNNNNNNNNNNNNNNNNNNNNNNNNNNNNNNNNNNNNNNNNNNNNNNNNNNNNNNNNNNNNNNNNNNNNNNNNNNNNNNNNNNNNNNNNNNNNNNNNNNNNNNNNNNNNNNNNNNNNNNNNNNNNNNNNNNNNNNNNNNNNNNNNNNNNNNNNNNNNNNNNNNNNNNNNNNNNNNNNNNNNNNNNGGGAAAACUGCUCCUACAGGGCCAUGGGGGCUGUAACCUCAAACAUGGUGUUGACCAUCUCAGUAGUGGCCGUGAGCGUAUCUGGGGUCGGCUCGGUGGUGGCCUUCAUCUUCUUGGAUCUCUCUGUCUCGUGGGGAUUAGCCUCUUGCGUUUGCUCCAACAUCCGCAGAUCUUUGCCUGGUUCUCCUUGGUCCGUCAUGAAACUGACAAAUAGGAGAUAACUGAAAGCAAAACACAAUCGCAUUGACAAUGAAACAGAAAAGAGAGUGAGGAUUGGUUACUUCUUUGCAAAAGUUUUUUUAAUAACAUAUACCAACAUCACGGAUCCGCUUACCUUCCUUUCGUUCAGAGAGAAGAACAAUGGCAGAAGCGAGUGUUAGCUUUCUUGAAGACGGUCAGGGAAAGAAGGGGAUUCAGCGAAGAGUGAAAUGAUGGUUGCUUCAUCCAUCCAACUUAGACUGUGGGAGGUGGGUUUUUGUGAUAUGAGGGCUUGUUACUGCCAUGCUACGACUGGGGUCACUCCGCCUUCUAAUUUGGUGGAUGCCAUUUGGGCCCGCGUGCUGCAUGGCCCGCAUGUCGGUGAAAGUAAAACGAUAGUCAGUAGCGAGAGACGUUUCGAUGACCGAGGAGGUGCCAGAACAACGGUAGUGUAUCCACUGUACUAGUAGUAAUUGUUUUUUUGGGUAGAUGUACAAUGUCUCCACUGUACUAGUAGUAAUUGUUUCUCUGGGCCGAAGACAAAAGAGCCCAUCCACCCUAAAUAAUAAAAUCAAUUCAAAAGCCCGUAUAUUUACUUAAUGAGAGGCGCUCCCCAAAACACCCCCCCCCCAAAGAACCUGGGUGCUCUUCUUCCUCCUCACUCCCACCCACCUCAUGUCAGAUCGCUCCACUCGUACCCCCAAAUUCCUCACCUCACUCCUAUAGAAAACCCCAGCUCCCCUUCUUCCUCACUACUACAGAAAACCCCAGCUCCGCUUCUUCUUCACUCGCACUACAACUAGGCUCGUCAUUCGUUACUCUGCUCAAAUCCGUGAGCUCGAUGCGACGCCCGUAAGGAAAAUGGAAUCGUCUGACCCCAGAACCAAGAAGAUGAGGCUCCCGCCAGCAAUGAUGCAUGUUGUAGAUCCUGCUCCCGGCAGCGGGGGGAGAAGCGGCGAGGGCCAGCCCUCUAGAUCUGAGGAACCCGAAGAAUCUCGAGCGGACCUCAUCAGCAAUCUCAUGGACGCCAUCCUUGGGGAUAUCAUCUCCCUUCUCCCCACCAAGGAUGGCUGCCGCACCCAAGUACUCGCAUGUCGGUGGCGCCCUCUAUGGUGCGCCGCGCCUCUUAAUCUCGAUUGUCAAGGCCUAUCUCUAUUUAAUGAUUUUGAACUCCCCGGAGCCAUCAUCUCCUCCCACCAAGGCUCUGUUCAAGGCAUCUGCAUCCCGGCAUGCUACCAAUGCAUGCCUUGCACGGUGGACACCUGGCUAAAAUCCCCUGAUUUCACAAAACUACAACUGCUUGAGUUAUACUAUUCCCCCAGAAAUCACAUACCACAUAACUGUUAGGACCGAGAGUAUACCGACCAGAGGGGGGUGAAUGGGAGAUUCAAAAAUUCUUUCGAAUGUUUUGAAACUGAUCCCAAUCACGGCAGCGGAAUAAUGGAAAGAAGAAAAUGAACUAAAUCAAUCUUCAUCUUCAGAAGCAUAUUCCUCGAUGAAAGAAGUGAUAACAGUACGAGCUUGGGAAAUCACAGGUUUAACUACGAUGAGAGUAAGGCAACAUGCAAACAGAUGCAGUAGAAUGAGACACAACAUGGUACACACAGAGAAGUAAAACUAUAGUGAGAUAUCACAUAUGUACCGAGGAAUAUGACAUUGACGAAUGAAAACAAGUGAUGAGAAUGAAACGUUAAGAACACAAAGAUAUCCAAGAUUGACAACAGAAAGGAACAAUGCGAAAGGGAAAUACAACAGAUGAUAAUGAUUAGAUAAACUAUCGACAAAGAGCAUGAAAGUAAAUUGCUAAAAGAAUUGCAGUAAAGUAGAUUGAACCAGUGGUGCUCGAUGGUGACAGAGAGAUUUGGUAGACUAGUUCACCCUUCUGCCAAAGGGCUACGUCUGGUUGGAGGGGAUGUGACUUAACACGGAAGAUAAACUCUCUUCACCCUUAUUCUCCUUCAACUCGAAGCUAAUCAGACUCCAGUUGAUGUCACUCAUGGUAGAUCCUUGUCGACGAUCUCCAAACCUUUGGUCGACCUUCGAAACCACAAUCACUCUUGGUUGCUGAAGAUCUAGCUCGGUGAACACAACAGCUCUUCAACACUCAAGCGGAAACCUAUCGGUCUAGAGAGUGCGCAGCUCUCAUGAGUAACAUGUACAAGAACUCUAACUCAGAAUUGUUGUGAUGCUAAACCACUGUCUAAGUUUGGGCUCUUUAUUUUUCUCUCGGUGGAUCUUACACUCAAAUCACUCGGAGAGAGGUUGCUCAAAUCAAUCUUCUCAGAAAUCUCAAGCGGAGUAGCCAAUGGACAAUGUUGGAGUGGGGUGGCUAUUUAUAGCCGCAACCUUCCCUGAUGGGAAAUGACCAAAUUGGACAUCGAGAGCAGCCAAUGGCUGAACGACACGAGUCCAACGGUCAGAUUUGAGCACAACGGUAACAUUGCUUGCCGAGAAAGUAAUGCUAACUCCUCGGUUUGAGACAAAUCUCUCGCAACAAAGAAGAUCACGGUCUCUGGCAAGUAUUUGCUCGGAACACAAAGAGAUUUCUCUCGCAACUUUCAUAGGUUCUGGCUAAGCAUCACAGCGGAUCUAAGCUUCGAGAACGUAUACCCCUCUUAAUAGUAUGGAGGACCUAUGACUCAAAUAAAUAGAAGAACAAUGAAAUGAAUACUACAUCUUCACUUUGUCUUCGACUUCCAUUUGCCGCAGUCAAUUUCUUCGGACGGCCAUACCGAAACAUAUGCUUCGCUUCAGCAGUAAACUCUCGAGGGGUUAAUUCCUUCACAUCAAUCUUCUCAUCUCUAUGACUUCAACAAAUAUAGCUCGUUCUUCUCUGGAACGUAGAUGUACUUCGCUGAAGUUCCUCAAACUUGGCACCGGAGACAACAUUCUAUUCGGUUCUGUAUGGACUGUUUCUGUCAACAUUCUCGAAAACAAAGGUAGGUAGAUAUUGCACCAACAAUCUCCCCCUUUUUGGAUGAUUGUUGGCAAAACAGAUCACAUCGAAGGAUAGAUAAUGAAUGGAAUGUAUUGCGAAGGAUAAUAAAUGACGAGAGAUAGUUACGAAGAUAAAACACGCUCCCCCUGAAGGUAUGCAUCAGGGCAUAAAAUAAACCAUAGGGUAGCGAUGUAAUUCUUCGUAUGAGUGACGUUGAUUUAUAAUUUCAUCCUUGACUUCUUUCAAUGCACUCGACGGUGUCUGAGGUAAUUCUUGUCACACAAUCUUCAAACUGAAUUAGAUAUAAUGAAUACAUUGAAAUGCUUUGUGACGAAGGAUAAGUCAUGAAGGUUUUCUCAGAGCACAAUUUGAAUCCACACGAGAGAAGAGUUUCCUGCAAGUUAAAUGAUCGAGAAUGUAUGGAGCAAGAUAAAUAUGAGAAUAUUUCACAUAGUGGAUAAGCUUUAGAGGUGGUUUUCCUGCAAUAGAUAUGAUACGAAGGAUAUAUGCGAGGAAAAACACUUUGUCAGUCAUAAAGAUAUUUUUCAAGACUUAAAAGAAAUUUAGGCUAGGACUGAAUUUCUUCUCCUGUAAGGUUAGAUAAUCGAAGAAUAAUAAUUAUAGCAUAUCCAACCAUAAUAAUUAAAGUUAAUCUAGUACACAAUGUACUUCUCCCCAUUUGUGUCUUCACUCGAUGAUUUCCUGUCAUUCUUGUAGUGCAAACACUUUCCCUACACGAUAGAUAAAUAACGAGGAUAAUCAUUGCAAGGGUACCUGCAAACAGAUAGUUCAAAGGAAAUAACAUUGCAGGGGGGGGGUUAUUAACAUUACAUGGCGACCGAGUAUUUCAUCACCACAGGCGGUGCGUUGGGUUCAUCAAGCAAAUUGUUCGAGGGAAAACCAAAAUGUUUGAGUGCGAAAGCCGAAAAGCAAAUGGCGAAUAAAAACACCCUGCAAAACCCCCGUUCAUCUAUCACUUGAUGUACUUCUCCCCCUUCUUGUGAACAAGUGUCAAAAAGGAAAGAGAUAACAUACGAGGAACUACUCUUUCGGUGUAUCCUCAGAAUCAGAAUUAAAACCACUCGACGAAUCAGAAUCCGCAGAGCGAGGAAUGGUCGACGCAGAAGCAGGAAUAGCAGCAUGGGCUCUGGAGGAACCGGUGGGAUGAGCAUCUGGCUUGUAUAUGAGUGCUCCAGCUGUGUCUUCAGUUUCAUCAUCAUGUCCGACAAACAGCAGGUUAGUUGAUGCAGAACGAUCAGGGAGCACAGGAGUUUGCCUUCGGAUACGUGGAACAUCAAGUAAAUCCAGGUAGUCAUAAUCCUUCGUGAUGCCUUUGGCAGCCAGCUGCUUUCAAGAAUAAUGCUGUCGUAGAAGAGUCCAGGAGCGCUUCUUUGCCUCCUUCUCAUGUAGAAGGGUUUGGCGAGCAUAAUUGUGGAGCAAGUUCAGCUCCGUCAUCAACUCCAGCUUUUCUUUGCGAUCGAGCUUGAUGUGGCUCUCCAAUGCUUGCUGUGUGCGAAUGCAAAUUUCAUACAGAUUUUCAUUCUAAGGGAUUUCAACCUUGGCUUUCUUAACCUUCGGAGCAGAAUCAGGAGCAGACACAGUGGCAGCAGCAUCAAUAGGUGCCUUCCCUUUUCCAAUAUCCUUCGCCAUACGGAGAGUGUCACGUACUAGUGGCAUGAAAACUUUUGGAAUGUAAGCCUAGAAGAAUUUCUCAUUAGUGAACUGCUCAAUUGCAUACAUAAUUCAUGGGGCAUAUGGCUUCAGUGAUUGCGGGCUGUCAGCAGCACAGGCCAAGUUGCGAAUGAAAAGAUCUGGAAUAUCAAACAGAAUUCCUUGAGAGAUGGCCAGAAGAGCAUUUCCUAUGAUGCCAUUGAUAGAACUCGGUCUGUUCGUUGGCGUGAGAGAAUUGCAUAGGAUAUGAAACAUCACUUUGUUGUCGUGUGCUUAACUAUUUGUGUCUGGGAUGCUCAAGUUUGACAUAUACUUGUAUGAGAUGGCUUAAAUUUUAUGUGUAUACAAAUAUUGUGAUAGAUAUUGGCAAAAAAUUUAGGGGCCAACAUGUCCAAUUUUCUUGGGUAACCAAUGAUCUGGUAGAAGCCACUAUUGUACUUAAGUAUACAUACAAAUAGAUAUGUGCAAAGAUGGGGUAUCAACGUUGAGAGGAAUUGAAAACCCGUCUUAUUUAGCGAGGACAAAACGAUUGAAUAUGAGAAAGUUGAGGUGAUUGGAGUACAUAUUUGCAAAGGGGUUUUCAUAAAAUGUCCAUUAAGUGGCCUGGGAUGUCACCACUAGAAUCUGCACUAUCCAUGUUAAAUCCGACGGCCCAGGACGAUUUUUUCCAUUUUUCUACCACAAGCCUGUUUUUUAUCGUAGUUGCUCCCCUUUCUUGCCUUCCAUUUCUGCGGGCCCAGGGACGAGGCAGGGUGGUCCCGGCUGAAACGUUCCACUACACGGCGGGUACUUUAGCUACUUGUGUGCACUAAAUUCCGCACCCUCCUCGUGGCUGUCCGAUCAUCGUGUCGCAUCCACCGUUACCGCACCGCACCGCACCAUUCAGUCGCCCCGCUUCCUUUCUUUUUUUCUUUUUCUCGCGGAUGCAUUCAGUCGCCCCGCUUGCCGUUGCAGCCUGCCAGCCACCGAUCUGGGCGCGACAGUGCGCGCCGCGCAAUAACUCGGGCCUUCAUUUCUCAGGCGACCGGGCAUUCAUUGGCCUGCUGCCGGAUCUGAUCGGCCGCUCUGUCUGUAUCCUGCUCUGAACAACCUGGCACCGGCAGUCCUCCUCUCCCGGCUUUAUUGGGUACAGUGUCUCCAAUCCAGUCCACAGUGCCCUGCCCGCUGGCUCGCCCGCUCACGGUUCGCUUUGGGUACGCGCCCGCGGCCCGCGGUGCUACGUUGCUGGCACCGGGAGUGCCGGAUUCGGUGAAUGCCUUCCGCGUCCCCAAAGUUUUUCGAUUUUUCUCCCACUCUCCCAGGGUAGCAACGAAUACGCUUACGUCCUAGUACGCGUGUAUGCUUAUGCGUGCUGCCAAAAUAAAAAGAGUACGUACUGGUCUAUACGCAUAUGGGCAAGAAAGGUUGGCCAGCUUCUUUUGCUUUUUUGAUUCAAGGUUGGCCAGUUCAACGUGGUGAACUACAUCGUACUACUAGUCGAGACCUCGAGUGUAUCGAGCUUGUCUAGCCCCGAUAUUCAAUGUGAAUUAAUUAGGGCUAAUGCUGAUAGAUACUGUAAGCCAAGCCAUGACUUUGGAAUAAUACUUCACUAUGUAGUAUUCCCUCCGUUCGAAAAGGUUUGUCCCUUAAAUGGAUGUAUCUAGCAUCAAGUUAAUGCUAAAUACAUCUAUUCAUUUGAGAGACAAAAUUGUGACAAGCUUUUUCGGACGGAGCUCAAAUGGAUGUAUCUAGCACUAAGUUUUUUCAGAUGGAGGAAAUAAUACUCCUACUACGACGGGGCAAAUGAUAGUUUGUCUAGGCUUCUUGCUAGAUAGGCCGUCUUGUUUAGUUGUUUUUGUCAAACGCACGUAUAUGUGUACUUUUAUUAUCCGGAACGAGACAUUUUCUAUAUGUGUGUUUCGUAUGCAUGCAGGCGAUGGUUUGUUCUAAGCGAACAUAUUACUAGCAUGUUUUCUAAUGAUUAAUAAGGAGUCCUGAAAGAAGAGAAAUAUGGUGCAAUUUUUUUUUGCCAAAAUGGAGAAACUUGGUGAGUGUAUCUACACAUUGGUGCAGAACGUGCAUGCUACGUUGGAGCAAGCAUCAUAUCCGUCUUAAAUUUUGGGGGAACACACAUCUAUAUACUCACAUAAGCUGUCUCCAUAGGGCUGACGGAAAUCCUUCAGUAUUCUCGAUGACUAUACUUGCAUUCUUGGUAGUUUGUAGUAUGAUCCACCUAAUUUUAACAUUCUGUUGUCCUGUGAUGAAAAUUUGUCUUAUUUGUGACAAUUUGAGGAAGAGAGGGAUGGCCAAACCUCUGGAGUGUGUUCAUUUGCAAAGAGAUUGAAUUUGUGUUUCACCUCUUCUUUGAAUGCAUUGUUGCUAAACACUUUUGGUGUGGUAUUGAAACUUUGUUUCAUGUUCAGAUAGUAGAUUUUGAUCUAAAAAAUUGUGGUUAUGCAAGAAAAGACAUAUGCAUCUCAAUGUAGUUAUUUCUGCAAUCAUGUGGGGGGCGUGGAACUUUCAAAAUGCUUUUGUCUUUAAUAGAACUACUUGGUUGUCUAUGAAACAGGUGAUGGGAGUGGUCUCCAGGUACCCGAGGAACUGGCCAAAAUGACUCCCAGAGUUAAACUGGAGUGGUGAAGGACUUCCGGGAAUGGUUGUGGGCGCAACUGAAAGCACUGUUCAUGUUGGAGUCGGACUGAACAACUGCAAAAACUGGCUGGGCCAUAUGUCAUGGAAAGAAGCAGUUGGGGGAGGGGGGGCAUCGUAUGGAGGAAGAACGUCGCUGGAAUAUGAGAAGAUGCAUCCUGAAGAGGCGGAUUCCAUCCAUGUGGUGUUCUCGGGCUACUGCUGGUCGCUUGGAGUGCAAAAUAUAGGUGUGUGUUGAUCGCAUAAAACUUGUAAUAAAAAGCUUGUCUGGGUAGUAGCUAGUCCUGGGCAAAAAGAUGAUUGUUUUUAGUCUUUUUUAUCAGGAGUUUCUGUGUGUGGGUCUGUUUGGCCCAGAGGUAGUUAGGUUGUCGCUUUUUGGUGUGAGUUUGGGUUGUGUAAGGAGAUACUGUGGUUUCAUGGUUUCUUCCUAUGGAAUGGAACCGGGGGUGAGCCCCUUCUCAUCGAUUUUUUUGUCUUAUCUUCCUGUUGGCCAAAUUAGGUCCUCUUGUGAGUGUGAAAAAACAGGCACAGUAGGAUGAGUGGCUCCACGAGAGAGAAAAAUCCGUUGAGUUUAUAACAAACAAAUUUGAUACUCCCUUCGGUUGGGUAUAUAAGUCGGGCACAAUUUUUUAGGUUUUCUAUUCGACUAAUAAAACAUUGUAGUGUGUCAUACAAAAAUACACUUAGAAACUUCAUACAACGACAGAUUUAAAGAUAUAUAAAAUUUGGGACACGACACAAUUGUUUAGGUAGUCAAAUUCAAGGCCUAAAACACGUGCCCAACUUAUAAACCCAACUAGAGGAUGUAGUGGCAAUCGGUCAUGGUAGGGAGAUUUGGAAUGUUUGGUGCACUACGAGAGCUAAUGAUCUGGGUUGUCCUAGGUCGUAACAGUAGUUGCCAAAAAUUAUUACAAGAUAAUGUGGCAACAGUUGUUUGGUUGGCACCGAGCCCCAUAAUUAUAUUCAAGGGGGUAUUCUUCUGCGAAAUACCCAGAUCUAUUGUAACAUUUCACCGAAGGUAGAAAGCACCCCAAACAUAAUGAAAAUUAUAACCACUAUCGCUGGCAGAAUGAGUCGCGACGCGUCGUUGUCGCUUCUUCCAUACCAGAGCUAGCCCGACUUUUUCAGUGAUAGCCAUAAAGUCUUUGUGCACGUGCGGCAUGUCCCAAAGGACUAGCGCCCUGGAGCCAUAGUCAUCAUCGUUGAGCCCUUAAAUUGAUCUAAAGCGCUAGACACCAGACUUUGUCGUUGCGCAUGCACGAAAAGAAACCCUAACUUUGCCGCCAAAGGAGAAGGCAUGAAUCUACGUUAGAGCUCCAAGGCACGGGGAUUCUUGUCCCAAUCACCAGCCGGUAGAGUGACAGGUAUAGGAGAUGAGAGUCCAUGGGCUGGCUGGCGGAGCUUGAAGGGGAGGAGAACUUUCCCCUAGCCACCUUUGUGUCAUGGGAGGGAGUGUUAAUGGUAGGCUAGUAGAGGAGGAUUAGGUUCAUAAUUUUGAACCUGUAAGAUUUUGCUCAUAGGUGUAGCAUUAUGGGGGUUGCUGGUGUUUAUGUUUUUCAGGUUUUCUUUUAUAUGUCAAGUUUUAGCAACUUACCCUAUAUUUCCUUUGGUGUCAUUUGGCAUCGAAUACGUUGACGGUGUGAUUGGUCAUGGCAAGGAGAUUUUGAAUGCUUGGUGCACCAUGAGAGCCAAUGAUCUGGGUUAACCUAUGUCAUAAUAGUAGCCGUUGAGCUUAUUUUUGAGUGGUAGGGGUUGCUUGUGUUGAUAUCCCAUUAGUAUUUUCUUAGACCAAGUUAUGGUAUCUCAUCAUUUUUCCCUCUAGUGACAUUUUGGCGCCACAAGGCUUUCAUAUUGUGAUCGGUCAUGGCAAGGAGAUUUUGAAUGCUUGGCGUACCAUGAGAACCAAUGGUCUAGGCUUUCUUGGGUCGUAAUAGUAAACGAGUUUCAUUUGGUGGGCGGGAAGUGGAGUUUCUCAUGCUGACGCUUCUUUAGUUUUCUUCCUUAGGUCAAGUUAUGGCAGCUAAUAUCUUUUUGCCAUUGGUGCCAUUUUGGCAUCGAUCGUAAGGCUUUGAUAGUGUGACCGGUCAUGGCAAGAAGAUUUUAAAUGCUUGGUGCACCAUGAGAGCCAAGCAUCUAUGUUGUCCUACGUCGCAGUAGUAGCCGAGUUCCAUUUUUUUGGGGGUGGGGGUGGGGUGGGGGUGCUUGUGUUGAAGUUUCUUUAGUUCCAUUUUGACGUGGAUUACAUGAUACAAAUUUGACAACGCUUGACCACUUGAAUACCAUGGACAAGGAUGGUAUAGCUCGUGUCCACGCACUGUUAUCGAAUGGAAAGCAAGAUAAAUAAUGUACCGACAUUCCAACUUUUUUUAAAGGAGGAUACACCCUCAUUUCAAUACCAAUGUUGUACAUACUUAUUGACUAACUACCGAUUUUCGCUUGCCCCACCAAAAGAACAAAAGAAAAGAAAAACACUGACUCCCACUUGGGCAUAAUUUCAUGAGUUCGUUAUUACGAUAUGAACGAGGAACCCUUGAAUGUGAUGUGCCUUUUGAAGAUUAAAUAAAAGGCACACAAUGCAUAUAAAAUUCUACCUAAAGUACUGAAAUUACGAGGCACUACAGAGAAGCAUCUCUUGGAAUGUAUGUGUGCAUAUACGACAUGCUUACACCGUGAUUGCCACCCAAAGCUCAAUCAAACAAAGAUAUGCUUCGGAUUACAAUGAGUUCAAUCAAUUAUUCUAUGAUAAAGGCCUAAAGUUGAAAUAGUCAAGUGUAAUGCCCAUGACUUCGUAUAUUGCUUCAAUCGUAUACUACCUCCAUUUCUUAAUAUAAAAGUUUUGACACUUCAAAUAUUUAGGAACAAAGGAAUUAGUGACUAAUGCUUAGUUUGAAAAACGUUUUUAUAUUAUGGGCCAGAGUGAGUAGUACUGAGUUUGCUCAUCACUUUUCUAAUUUUUUUUUUGCUUAUCACCGGCGUACGCCACUACCACAAUGUUUUGUCGAUACCGUUCGUAUCUAUCCAAUUCUUCUUCUCACUUGGACGUUACCCAACAGCCGCAAGUUUCCUGUUGCUUCGGACCGCCAAUUCAAGAAAGCAAAGGGUGUUCUGUAGGAAGAUACCUUCCCAAGGUUUCCACGCCAUCACACACACACAUAUACACGCGGCUCGCGAGCUCGCUUCAGAAAAAACCAAAUCCUCUAUUCCUGCAUCGCCCGCAUCUGUUCGUCCCCCUCUGCGGCGGCGGUGGCGGUGGCGACGAUGGGGCUCGAGAUGGAGCCGAUGGCGGCGGCGAUCGGCGUCUCGGUGCCCGUGCUCCGCUUCCUGCUCUGCUUCGCGGCCACCAUACCCACGGGCCUCCUCUGGCGCGCCGUGCCGAGCGCCACGGGGCGGCACCUCUACGCGGGGCUCAGCGGCGCCGCGCUCUCCUACCUGUCCUUCGGGGCCACCUCCAACCUCCUCUUCGUCGGGCCCAUGGCGCUCGGUUACCUCUCCAUGCUCCUCUGCCGUCGCCGAGCUGGCCUCGUCACCUUCCUCGGCGCAUUCGGCUUCCUCAUCGCAUGGUGAAACCCUCCCUUCCAUCCUUGUCUACUGGGGUCAUAUAUACCGAUGCUUAGUUUCGGGUGAAUCAUGAAUGUUGGAUUCAUGGGUUUUCACGCCUUCAUUUUGGGUAGAACAGGGCAGGCAAUGUACAGCUAACAGCAGCUUGUUCGACUAGGAAACCAGAGGAAUUGUAAGCGGAUCUGCAGAUGUGGCCGAGCCAGAGCUUUGGGUCAUCACAGGGUUAAACAGUAGUUUAUUCUAUUGGAAAACCACGGGAAUCGUAAGUGGGCAUGGAGCUUUUGAUGCUUCUGAUAUGGUUGGAACCGCAGCAUGGACGAUUUCAUGUUGGAGCUGAUUGAAAUGAUUUUCAACUUUUCUCUGUCUAGCCACGUGGUGCUAUUUAUGAUUAAUAGUUUCAAGGUGAAAAUGAGAUCUUGUAUUAUCUCAGGAUGAAUUUUCUUCUAUGCUUGCAAAAUUUUGGACGUCUGAUCUCGUAAAGAUUGCAAUGAAUACAUAUAAUGUGAUUGUUGAGAUUUUACCUAAGUACCUUAGCAGUUCCUAUUGGAGAAUUUAUUGGUUGUGUGCUCAUGAAGCAUCAGGGCACCACUUGUUAGUCACGUGAAUCAGUUUUUUCUUCUCUUGAAAUGUUAAGUCUGUUUUGGCGGUACUAUGAUGCGAUUUAUGAUCUGUCACACUGAGGGGUUGAAUUAAUAUGACCUAUGUUUACUUGGAAAGAAAUUAAGGGAAGGGAGAAAAUAUUUCCCAUCCAAAUAUCCCUGACAAAGACUCCAUCCAGAUAAUGGAUGCUGUUUGGUUCACUUAGAAGUUAUUUAUUCUAUCUGGAGCCAUCCAAACCCACAUAAAUUUUCAACAACUUAAUUAAUAUUCAGGCACACCAUCUCUGAAGAUGAUUAUUCCAUAACCAACACACAGGCUUGACAUUAGUGAUGUUUUAUUCACCUUGAAAACUUAUAGUUGAGUAUUUAAAACUGACUCAAUGAAGUAUGAAUGCAGGCAUUGCCGUAUUCCUGUUCAUUAUCAUUGACAUCGAUGUUCUGUUCCAUAAGGCUCUGACUGAAAUUUACUGUAAAUAGAAAGGUGCAGCUAUUCUUUUAUUUCCUAGUUACUAGUGUGAAUCAGUGACAACGAAUGUUGAGUGGUAAUUCUAGUUACGUUCUCGUCAAUAUUGAUGCCCCCUCACCAUCCUCUUCAACUUCAUUCUCUCGUAUGGUGCAGUUAAUUUUUGUGUUCACUACCUAGAAGUUUAAAUUAGCGGCCACAAGUGUCUGAGUAGUCAUUCUAAUUUGGUUCCUGUUUCAUUCCCUACUGAAACAAACAAGUUACGGAUUAUAUCAAUUUGCCCAUCUUUCACAUGGAGUAAAGUAUCCACUUUGUCUACAUAGCCUGUGUUGGACCAGGCACCCAUAUAGAUUAUCUAGAUCCAAAAUCAUGACCUUUAAAAUACGCUAAUCACACACUCAUUCUUUCCAUUUGUAGAAACUCUUUAUUUGGCAACUGUUGUAUAUCAUCGAGACAACAUAAAAAUAACAAACACUUAACAAUAGGUCUAGUUCAACAGGCAGCCAUUGUGGUAGCAAACUUUCUUCACUUAGCUGUUGAAGAUAAUGGUGCGUCUGUUUAAUUCUUUAAAUGUGUAAUUGAUUCAAAAAUAAUAAUAAUCCACGGAUGCAAUCCGGUCGUUCAUUCGUAAUGUUGCAAUGUAAUAUUAAUAUAGACAAAAGGCUUGUGUAUUCUAAACAUAAAAUGUUUCCCACCUGCUAGCACUAGCACCGUCAUUCUGCUAGAUCAAAUUAUGCUAAUACCAGCAGGCUUCCUUGGGGACAUGUCAAUCUCUUUAUCCCACACCAUAAGCUAGUUUUAGAGCACUAUUGGAUAGGAAGUCCAUCAGAAGCGGACUAAGAAGAAAGCUUAUUCGAAAAAAGGGCAGUAGAUUCUACCGCCAUGCACUACUGAGAAGAUUAGCCGCAAAGCACCAAAAUCCUAAGUAUCUUCUCGACAUGAUCAACGCCUGUCUUCUUUUUGUUGGUUCUGCUACAAUACCAACUGUGGCACUAAUAUUUUUGGUUGUUGCAGUCACUUGCCUGUUUCAUCUGUGGUAUCCUAAGUCUUUUCUCUUCUCCGAAUUUCUGCUCUUUAACGAAUGGCUAUGAGUCCUGGUCUCGCCUAUGUGAUAUUUUUCUAGCGUUUUCCCUUUUUACACGAACAUAGGUAUUAGCCAACUUAUUCCGAGCACUAUUCGUUUUAAUGUUCAAACCAGCUUUGACACGUAGUCUACAUACAUGAAGGAUAAAGUGGUUAUAUAUUGUCGGCUAGUUCUUCGCUAUUCAAUAUUGUGUUUGCUACUGUUUCCUUUUUGGCCCCAUAAGAAGGGUGCCCUUCUAUUCCAUAUGCAAAAUUUUGAAGUGGAAUGAACCAGCUACCUAAGUUGGAGACUCAAGAAGUAAAUUAUUUUUAGCCAUGGACAGUGGUGCGUGGGAGUUAGCUAUCUACGUGCCAGAACCAUGACUUGGUUUCGAUGUCUUAUGGGUUUCAACUCUAGUCUAACCCAACUUGUUACUUUAGGCCAAUUUGUUAUGAUGGAUAAGCUGGCGAACAAUUUGGUGCUGAAUUUUACAAUUUUACACUGUGGAUGUAUUUAAGUUUACCCUCAUACUACAUACAAAUUAACAAAUCAGAGUUACUUACAUAUUUUCUUUUUGUUGUAUAGUCAUGUCUACUACAUGAGUGGGGACGCGUGGAAGGAGGGAGGCAUCGACGCAACUGGUAUUGUAUAAUGUUUUAUUGUUGCUUGUGCUUAUUUAAAGUUAAACUAGUGUUCACCAUGCAAUUUUUGAGUGCGCUUCCGACUUACAUAUAUGGAACAUGUUCAAGUUAUAAGAUAUAUUUUAAGAAUUUUGAACCCCUAAUAUUAUCUCAUGACAUUUUACCAUUUUUUCUUGUGUGGUCCUUGUAGCUAACAGUGUUUUUUUGGGAUAUUGUUUAGUAGUCAAAAUGAUACCUUCUACUGAGGGACAGGUGUACCGCCCCUCUUAUAAAUCUAACAGUAGUGAAAUAAUUGGACAUAGGUUAUAUUCAGGGAGUAACAUAAUCGAGUGUAUGCAGGUACAAAAUAAACCUUGUAGGCCAAACCUCAGCUCUUACUUGUGGUCAACCCUCUGCGAAUAACAUCAAGCCAUGUCCCUGUGCCUUCUCAUAAUUCCCUUUUUUGGUUGCAAUGCAGGUGCUUUGAUGGUUUUAACGUUGAAAGUCAUUUCAUGCUCAAUGAACUACAGUGAUGGUCUCUUGAAGGAAGAAGAGGGUCUACGUGAUGCUCAGAAGAAGUAUCGCUUGGCUAAGUUGCCUUCUCUAGUCGAAUAUUUUGGUUACUGCCUCUGCUGUGGCAGCCACUUUGCUGGACCAGUAUAUGAGAUGAAAGAUUACCUUGAAUGGACUGAAAGGAAAGGAGUAAGUAGCCUUUGUCUACUUUGGGUAGGUUUAUGCCAUGUUUUGCUUCAUCCUGAUUUUGUAUGAUCUAUAACAGAUAUGGGCCAGCUCAACUCCUUCACCAUUAUUACCUACUCUGCGUGCUCUAGUUCAGGCUGGAAUAUGCAUGGGGUUAUAUUUGUAUCUGUCACCUAUGUUUCCGCUUUCACGAUUUAGUGAACCUCUAUAUUAUGAAUGGGGUUUCUGGCACCGGCUCUUCUUUCAAUACAUGUCAGGAUUUACUGCUCGUUGGAAAUACUACUUUAUAUGGUCAAUCUCAGAAGCUGCAAUUAUUAUAUCUGGCCUGGGUUUCACUGGUUGGUCUGAUUCUUCUCCCCCAAAAGCCAAAUGGGAUCGUGCUAUAAAUGUUGAUAUUCUGGGCGUCGAGUUAGCUGGAAGUGCAGCUCAACUGCCACUUAAGUGGAAUAUUCAAGUGAGCACAUGGCUAAGAUACUGUAAGUUCUAUAUCUUGAUAUUCCAGUAGACCAUCAUUGUUAUUAACUUGCUUUGUUGGAUAAUAUAAUGCUUUCUCAUCAAAUUUUGGUGUUCUCUGUAUAAACUAGAAAGCACAAUAUGAAAGCAGAUUGAGGGUCCUUUACGCAUCACAUAGCAUCUAUUUUGCUUACCAGUUACCACUAUUAAGAUCUGUGCAAUCUAAGACUUGGAGAACAAGGAAGCACUAUCUUUAAUUCUGUAUUUAUUAAUUUCUCUAAAAGGUUCAGUAUUUUUCUGUGUCUCUACUAUGAAAAAUUAGUUGAUAGUACAUAAUGCGAGGUUUUGGGGGUCUGUAAAUUAAUUUUGUUGACCACUUGAUGAUUUUUUGGAACCUUUUGGUUGCCUGUUUUUGUAGUGUGGAUGAGAGAAGCAUGUAUGCCUGUAAUUCAUGAUCUUUAGCUGAUUUCAAAAACCUGUACAUGUACAUUAUGCACUCAUGUAUUAGUAGUAAUUUGUCUCAUCAUUGACUCCUUGAGAAAUGAUCAUCUGCUUGAAGUUUAUCUUUGUGCUAAGUAUGGUAUGCACCAAGCAGUUUGUUUUCGUGCAAAUGCCAUAAUUGGAGCAAUCAGCGAUGCACUUUGGUUAUACCUAUAUAAUGUAUUGAAUGCCAUACAUUCAAGCUAUGCUGUUAUCAGUUGCAUGAGCCAUUGCUCCACUAUUUUUUUCAGAUGUGUAUGAGAGGUUAAUUCAGAAAGGGAAGAAGCCUGGUUUCCUUCAGUUGUUGGGUACACAGACAGUCAGUGCUAUCUGGCAUGUGAGUUUUUCUUCCCCUCUUAUCAUUUAAUAGUUCCUGUUCACCGUAUAUCGGACUUGUCAUGUAGCAGAGCAUCCUGAAAUUUGUUGGACAAACAGUAGCUAAAUGAAACUAGAAUGCUCUAGGCCCCGCUUGGAAUGGGGGUAAUUUUAUACACCUGUAUUUAUUCUACAGGUGUAAGUUACAGGUCAACACUUAAGAUCAGCCUGAAAUGAAAACGACCAGAGGAGGUCCGUAUCUUAUACCGGCCAGAAAACGAGCGGAAACGCUAAUCCAAACAGGGCCCUAGUGGGAAUUUAGAGCUGCUAUUGUCCUGGUAGUGGAACCUUAGUACCUGCCUUUAGAAUGGAGGCACUAUGGGUCAUUGCAAACUCGAGUUUUCCCCAUGAUAAUAACUGGCUUCACUUGUGACAUAUUAAUAACCUUUUUCCUCAGCAAGCUGUUGCUUGUGAUGAUUGAUACUUAGCCAAUCCAGCAAGCUGUGGCUUGUGAUGAUUGAUACUUGGCCAAAUUUCAUAUUACUUGGUUUUUGUCCAUUGGUCUGAUUUUUUACCGUUCUACAGGGACUGUAUCCAGGAUAUAUGAUUUUCUUUGUUCAGUCGGCGUUGAUGAUAAAUGGUUCAAAAGGUAGCUCAAUCCCUCCCUUUCCUGACAUUUCUGAGGUGUACUUGAUUGAAAGCCGUGUGAGCUUGUAAUUCUGAUUUGGCUUCCUUUUUUUAUGCAGUUAUAUACAGAUGGCAACAAGCUGUGAGCAAUUCAGGCUUCCGCACUAUCCUGUCUUUACUAAAUUGUGCAUACACCAUGAUGGUGCUUAAUUACUCAUGCAUUGGCUUCCAGGUUAGUUUCAUGCCCCUGAAUCUGGCUAUACUUUACCCUGUAGAAACUGAAAACGCAAUCUGAUCAGAUCGCUUGUCUGUUAACCAAUAAUCUGUGCACCUAAAUUUCUCCCUUUGUUUUAUUAAUUUCUUAUCUUUGAUGAUUAUUAUGCAUAUACGGUUUUGCAAGUAUCAUUUAGGUUUCACUUGACCAAAAUGAUAUUAAUCGAACUGUAGCAAAGCCAGGUUGCUUCCCAAACUUAGUUUAGACAACUUAGAUCUGCAAGUGUUUUAGUUUCGUAGCAACGUUUCCAUUUGGAUCAUGAUGUGCCACCAGAAUAUCUGAAGAUUCUAGAAUGAGAGAAAUGUUUAUUUUCCCAUUACAAGCGCUCAGUUUGCUGAAUUGCCAUUGAACAAACGUACUUUGGUUAUUCGCCACUGCACAAACACAACUUCUUGCCAAUAUGCCAUCGCUGUUACCCUUCUGUUAAUUUUAGUGUGCUUCUGUUAAAUCUCAAAUAUCUGAAAUAUCUGUCACUAUUUUGUCUGAAUCCCCAAACUUCCCUGGCUUAAAGAGAAAAGAAAAUGGCUUACCUAUUCAGCGCCUGCUCCUGCACGCACACACCUGUUUCUUCUUGUUUCUCUCCCCCAUGGACGCACCAGUAGAGGAGAUGAUGGCAGGGCAGCUUCCGGCAGGCCUUCGCCCGCUCCUCCCGACGAGUCCACCCAGCUACCAUUCUGAUGUCUACCCUGACUCCUCUCCCCGCCCCCUCCCAAAUUACAGAAAACCUAGAGGGGAGGCUGUGGAUAACUGCAAGACCUCGGUGACAGCCUUCCCGUGAUCCCAUACGCAACAGGCAAGGAGGACUACUUGGUGGCGGCAGGCACCCCUUGUGGCCCUCACAGAGAGAGCCAGCGACGAGGUUGACAUGGGUCCGUGGUCCCUGGAUGCAAUUAGGAUACUGAAGGCGAGGUAGAAGAGGAACGAGGCAACGAUGGUGUUGUACUUGCCCCAGCAGCUGUCAGCGAGGAAGGUGCCAAGGAGGGGGACAUUGAAGGUGGUUCUGUUCCAGGUGUCGGCAAGCAGGGGUUCCGUGGAGCACGGUUCCGAGCUAGACCACCAGAUUCAGUUCGACUCCAUAACAGGCGAUCCUCUCCAGCAAACUCCAAACCUGCAGUCAGUCGCUGAUAUGAAUGGUGUCGUUCCUAGAUGCUAGAUGGAGAGGAAUCAAUGGAAUGGGUCGUCGUUGGUUAAUUGUGUAGAACGAUGACAGGGCCUGUCCAAAUGAACCGUUGUCAUCAUCAUCACAGCAGUUGAGGACGAAGGAGAUUAUAAUGCUUUGUCUGAUUCGAGUUUGGCCAUCUGCUGACAUUGCCAGCUCCGUGAGCUAAAACUAGCAGCGAGCAAGUCAAUCACCGAAGCUUGCGUCUAUCCACACCCAUAACUAGUAGUGUAUUACUAAUCCAGCUCACCUUAUAACUUACAUGCCUAUCUACUUUGUUUCCUUCUACCGUUAUGGCAUAUUGGCAAUAAGUUGUGCUUGUGUGAUGGCAAAUAAGCAAAGCACACUUGUUCAAUGGCAAUCCAGCAAACCGAGCGCGAGUAUUGAGCACUAGAGCUACUAGAGCAUUACUAGUACAAUUAAUGUUUUUUGUGCAGAAAGAAAGACGUGGGUUAAAUUCCUAACAUUCUUUUGUUCCUCCACAGUAGCUUCGAACCUACUCUAGUAUGUGGAACAUAUGCCUUUGUCAAUCAUCUUCCACAUAAAACAUACUAACAUUUACAAUGCUCUAUGCUUUUGUUUUCCUCAAGGUACUGAGCUUCCAGGAGACCUUAGCAUCCUACAAGAGCGUGUAUUAUGUUGGCACAAUCGUUCCUAUUCUAUGCGUCUUGCUGGGCUAUGUUAUCAAGCCCGCGAGACCUGUGAAGCCGAAGGCUCACAAGGCAGAGUGAGGAACAGAGCGAAUUGAUCUUUACAUAGAUGAGUUACGAAGCUUCAAUGAUGAUUAUGUCAAGAUAGUUUUCAGUUUACUUCCAUCUUUGUGAAACAAUAUCAAAUUUAGCCAAAAGGAUAAUGUGGUGGCUCCAUUGUAAUUGACCAAUCAUUAGAAACCUGUUGUUUCGUCGGGCUGAUCACCCAUUUGUUUUACCACACAUGCAACACAUGAUUUUUGGCCCUAAGCUGUAUGUUAUUCAUUUACCUUUUCUGCUUGGCUCUAUUCAAACUGAUGUAUAUUUUCGCACCUUCCCAUUGGCUCUGUAUGGAGGUGUGAACGCUAUUGCUGGUUCAUAGUCGUGUUGCAUCGUGCCGGGUCGGUAGCAGCUGGAGCUCCUAGAACAAACAUUCGUCUUUUGACUAUCUGCAGCACUCACUUUGAACGCAGUUUUGGUGCGAUGGCGGCUGAAGCUGAGGCCGGGAUCACAAGAAAGACAGACCUUGGUCAUAGACAACGAAUGAGUUGGAAUGUAUCUGACGCGUCUUUCUGCUCGGGUCAUAUAAAUGGUGCUAUAGCGGCGUGAAUCUAUGGGUGCUCCGGUCCGGUCCAAGUCCGACUUGCUGAUUGAUUGAUAUGCAGUGGCGGUGGUUCUGGCGCUGCUGGCCUCUCUCAUGUUUGUCCAAUUGUAAUUGUGCCGGGGCCACGGCAAGUGCAUAGUACAUGCAUGCAUGGCCUGAAAGUGCCCGCUUGGUGCUCUGCUCUUCUGACGCGACCACCAGAGGGCGGGCAGCGUAGUGUGCUACAGUGCUAUGCAGGAAAAGGGUCAGUGAUGCGACGUAGCGUGGCGUUGAUCAGGUCGUGGCCACGACUGCUGGCUGCCCUGGUCGGGUUCCAGUUGCAAUCAUGGUGAUGAUCUGAUCCCGCACUCGUUCUGGUGCGGCAUCACGAGCGGCGCAUGCUCCGCAGUAGUAGUACGGCAGGAAAUCUCCCCUUUCCCAUAGCAGACCAGAGAAGCAGCCGCUUCUUUAAAAAAUGCAUGAUUUUUAUUUUGAGCCCUGACCGUAGAACAAUCAUUCUACGGUAUUUUCAUUAAUAUAAAAUAAGAUUACAAAGUACAAAACUAUGUUACAAAAAAAUGCAUGAAUUUUGCUGCAGAAAGAGGUCGUUUUAGCUGCUACCACGUUCAAAGGAAUUUUUUUACUUGUAGCUAAUAUAUGUAAAUAUAUUCUGUCUCGAAUACAUGGAAGACAGAGCGCAGCCCAUCUUGCCCUUCAAUUGCUUUGGUCGCGCUACUGUUGCGUUACGCCCAUGAAUUCAAAGUCCGCGGCCCCGGUUGAGCACCUUGAAGAAAGCCUCUUCCGCGCAUGUCAAAACCAGCAUUGCUCUCGUCUGCUUGCUGUUGCGCCACGAGCCGUCCCGCGCACGCGCUCGCUUGUGUAGCAGGAGUCGUCUUCCACUCGGGCACCCGUUGCAGCGUGGCGUGGGCAUGGGACAUACCACCACCGAUCGGCCUUGCUGGUGACCCCGGAGACUAGCUUGGACGUGCAGAGCGCACGCCAGUACACAGGACAGUUUCGUCAUACUACUAGCAAUCAAUCGGCUGUCGUGGCCUGCCGGGCGGACGACACGAGGCUACGAGAGGGGUGUAUAGCGGGCAGCCUGAGCUUCGCAGCGUGCGUGCGUGCCUAUAAACGUUGCUGACAAAAGAAAAAUGUCACUAUAUGCGCGCGUGCUACGGAGGAGUGGCUGCCAGUUUCAGUUUGUCAUCAAUCAGCAGUCAGUUCACUGUGGGUUGUGCGUGCGUCUACCAGCUUUAACUAUAGCUUGGGGCAACGCUAGCUACAUGCCAUGCAUAUGCCAAAUGCCAGAGUCCAGAGCGUUUGUUACCCGACUGCCAGCAGCGGUCCCGUAAAAUGAGUCAAAUCCAUCACGCGCGCGCACUCGCGCCGCGCUGUGCAGCGGAGCCCCAUGCGAGUACGUCAGGUGGCGUCGACGACGGCGACCCCGUUCGUUUGGCGACUGUUGGAGAUGGAACCACCGUACGCGCGCCCGCCAUGCCCCUCCUGGACGUGCAGAGGACUCACCAAUUCUUGCGCCGCAUCCGUUGCACUUGCGCUGAUCGGGUCCCCCGGCCUGCCCCUGCCGCACCGGACGUCGGGUUACGAGCCGGCACGCUUGCGUUCGGAUGCGCUUUCCGUGGUCGAGGCUCCUCCCUCGCCUGUUUUGGCCUCUCGCGCCGUUCAGGGGUCAGUAGCGUAUACGUGGUAGGACUAGGGUUCCUACCGGCUCUACUCUUUAGAUUAUAAGGGCAGAACAAUAGAGGUUGAGGGCGAGGACGCGAGCUCCGUUGCGUCGGCACCGUCGCGAGGAAGGAGGAGGGCGGCGGCGGUUAGGGCUGGAGGCGGCUAGGGUUCCGGCUCCUUUGGGAGCCGGGCAAUAGGGAUAGAAAAUAUCUUUAUUGCUUAAUUCCAAAAAGAGUCUUGCAGCCUAUUUUUAUAACCUAGAUAAUUUGCAUAAGAAUUAACCUAAGAUAACUUGUGGGCUAAGAUUGCCCUGUGGGCCUAGCUAAACCGGCCAUAACACUUCUCCCCGCCUGCACAAACAGCUCGUCCUCGAGCUGUAAGGUGGGGAAGCGCUUGCGGAAUUCCUCGAGGCGAUCAACCAGCGUCAAACACCUUCUCGACAGCUGGGGCGGCCAGGUCGGCGGCGACGGCGUCCUCCGGAAUGUAGUUUGCAACAUCCAGGUAGAAGAGUCGCGGGCACGCGUGGCCGGGCGUGUAGGGCUCGUCGCAGUUGAAGCACAACCCUUGGCGGCGACGCUCGAGUAUCUCGGCUGAGGUGAGCUGGCGGAACGGGCGCUCCGCGGUCGCGGCGAGGGGUGCCGCAGAAGCCUGCGCAGGCCGACCCUGCGCGGAAUCCGGCCCGGGUAGCGACCCAGCGGUCCGGGACGGUGAUUCCUGCUGGAUGGCCACCGCGCGGCGCUCGAACACGCGGGCGUAGUACAUGGCCGACUGGAGAUCCUGGGGUCCCCGAAGCUCCACGUCCACAUGGAUGUGAUCCGGAAGUCCACCGACAAAGAGGUCGGCUCGCUGCUGCGCCGUUACGCCCGACGCAUGGCACGCCAAGGCUUGGAAGCGGUCGGCGAAGUCCUGCACCGUAGAGGUGAAGGGAAGGUGGCCGAGCUCCGACAGGCGGUUCCCGUGAACCGGGGGCCCAAAGCGGAGGAGGCAGAGCUCGCGGAAGCGCUCCCAAGAAGGCAUGGCACCCUCGUCCUGCUCGAGAGCGUAGUACCACGUCUGUGCCGCGCCGCGGAGGUGAUAAGAGGCAAGCCAGGUCCGCUCCGAAGCGAGUGUGCGCUGCCCGCGAAAGAACUGGCCGCACUAGUUGAGCCAGUUGAGGGGGUCCUCCGUGCCGUCAUAAGUGGCGAAGUCGAUCUUGGCGAACCGCGGCGGUGCCUGGGAGGGAACGCCGUGUCGAGCUGGCUCGGAGGUGCGGAGCAGCGAGGAGGGUGGUGCUUGGUCGGAGUACUCCGGGUAGGGACCCGCGGAACCGGAGGGCCCCCCGAACUGCGGAAACGGAGUCGGCUGUUCGGGGGCUGUGGUGUAGACCGGCGAUGGCGAAGACCCAGCCGCCCACGCUGGAAGUGGCGACGGGGAGGGCGCGAACCGGACCUGAUGAAUCGGGAGGCCGGUCGGCGAGGGUGCCCCCGAGCUAGGCAGGGGUGGCGCCGAUGGUUGUAGCGUCGGCGGCGGAGGGUGGGCGGUGGCGUCGGUGGCCGCGGGGGACGGUGGCUGCAAGUAUCACAGAGGGGCCGCGACCGGCGUGGUCCCGCCGAAGUGUCCCGCCCGGGACGGUUGCAGCGGCAGCCCGGUGCAAGCCGGCGCGGUUGUCCCCGAGCUGAUCAAGGACGGUGAGGGCGCGGAGAACGGCUGCGGCGGUCCGGUGGCCGCCGCCUGCGGCAUCUGCUGUAGCGGCCAGGGGGCCGCUGAUGGCGUCGGCGCGAAGGGCCAGAGGGGCGCCGCGGCAGCCGGAGGGCCGCCCGGUGGAGCUGCCUGGAACGGCAGCAUCAGGGGAGCGCCGUACGGAGAAACACCCUGGAGCGGCCACGACGUGUGGCCGUAGGCAGCAACGGGCGCCGUCGGCAGGGGCAUGUAGGGCCCGGCCGCGUACUGCUGCUGCUGCAGGUGGAGGCUCUGGACGGCGGUCACGAGAUCCCGCAGGGUGGCCGUGACCUGCUCCGGUGUGAAGACGGCGGACGGCGGUGGCGCGGAGGGGACCGGGGAGGGCGGCGCGGAGGGGCCCGGUGGAGACGUGGCCCGCCAACGCGGUUAUCCCGGCGGCGGACGUCAUCGGCGCGGUGAGGGGCGGCGCCGUCGUCAUCGGAGCGGUGGAGCCGCUGGACAACGUCGGCGAUGGUGGUGGCUGCGACAUGAUCCGAACUUGGUCUCUGAUAUCAAAUUGGUAGGACUAGGGUUCCUACCGGCUCUACUCCUUAGGUUAUAAGGGCAGAACAGCAGAGGUUGAAGGCGAGGACGCGAGCUCCGACGCGUCGGCGCCGUCGCGAGGAAGGAGGAGGGCGGCGGCGGUUAGGGCUGGAGGCGGCUAGGGUUCCAGCUCCUCUGGGAGCCGGGCAAUAGGGAUAGAAAAUAUCUUUAUUGCUUAAUUUUAAAAAGAGUUUUAUAGCUUAUAUUUAUGAGACAAUAUCAAGUGGAAACCACGUAUUCAGUGGAAUGCUGGAAGCCUCAGCCUAGCCCGUUGGAUGCUAUUUGUAUGGACCAGAUAGAAUCAUAACUGCUAUGCUCUAUUUGCACAAAAACGCCCGCAACCAGGGAUGCUAUUUUACGGGUACACCCUCAGGUCUAACAAGUAAUCACAGCGUACAUCCUUGCCCCUUAUUUCCACUUUUUUGUCAGCCAAGUAGGAUUUGUAAGCCAUGCGCUGUGCCUAUACUUCAGCACACAUACGUUUCGAUUUAAAUUGAAAAACUAGCUCAAUGGAUACCAAAACUGUACCAACAAAAUCACAUUUGGGAAACCAAAAGAACAGACAGUCAAUGCCCCAGAUCAGACAACAGAAAACUGAAGGAAGCUAAUUUUAAUAUAGUCUACUAGUAUCAGAAUUCACUUGCAGUAAUGGAUGCAUCGCUUCAACAACACAUACAUUAGUUAAGGCAAAUGUUCCAACCGCAUUAUGCUAGGGAAUUUUGUUACAAGAUAGACACAUCACUAACUGAACAGCCAUAGUAAAUCUCACACUUAUACAUCAAACAUUGAGCACACAACUCGAGUACACAACAACGGUCUUUUUUUUGGGUUGGAAUCUGCAUAGAUCUUUACUGCCACCAGCAAACCUGAAAAAUAAGAGUUGAACUUUUUUAUACAUAAUACACUAAAACGAGUUUAACAACAAUCUAUGCAAAUAGAUACAGUAGUGCAUGCCAUCUUUAUUAGCAAAAAAAGAACAUAAUUAUUUUUCAAACCAGCUCAUUUCUUAUUUCCCAUCGUACUACACAAAUAAUUAUGCAUACAACAAAAAGUUAAUUUGGAGGACGGGUGCAUUGAAGCCCGAUAUUUGGAAUAGUGUCAAAAUUCUAUUUUGAAGUUUCAAAAUGUUCUGAAAACAAAUCAACAUGGUUAUAUGGAUGUAUAUUACACAUGUGUAAAUUUUGAUGCUGAAAUAAGUAACCAUGUGAGUUACACAAAAAUGACAAAAUCGUUUUUUUUGGAAAGAUGAACUGAGCAUGCAUUAUUAACUAUUUGAAAAUCACCAUUUUGUCAUUUUUCUAUAGCUCACAGGUUUAUUUGUUUCGUCACCAAACUUUACACAACUGUAAUAUACAUCCAUAUGAUCACGUAGAAUUGUUUUCGAGUUUUUUUGGAACUUUAAAUGUGAUUUUAAAAGUAUUUAAAAUAAGGUCCUUGAAUAAUUAAUCUAGUAGCAAUGGCAAACACAUACAUUAAUCAAGGAUUUUUCUCUCACUCACUCACACUACUGGCACCACACACACAAUAAUUAAUCUACAAAAUUUGCAGCAGCGCGUAUAAGCCCUACACACCGCUCGAGUUUUCUCUUUGAUAACUUCCAUCUAAACACAAUUUUCAAUUCAGAUACGUAUCAUCAUCUAAAUUCCAUCUAGACAGUAGGGGUAGCAGUUUAUAGAUAAAUAACAAUUUUCAUAGACAGCAGAGCAUGCCAUGGUUACACAGAGCACACACGCCAGGCAGCAAGCCAGCAACACAUGAAUAGUCAUAGAUGUGUACUAUAACAGUAACACACAAUAAUUAUGAGCAAAUGAAUUAUACCUCGCAAUUUCUUCAAGACCAAAAUCUGGACAGUACGACUCAGGGGAAAUCAGCAGCUGUAGGCAAGAUGCCACUACCUCGUUUCCUCUACUUCCUUCAAAUGAUGUGCUGAUCUUGGAGGAGACAGCCCAAUGAGCCACGUCCUUGUCCCCUCCUCUGUUUGCUUGGCAAACCUAGCCCAAUCUAGAGAAGAGGGAACUACUAGAUGAGCCACGGGACAAAGAAGCACCGGGCCAAAGCACAGAAGACGAACACUACAGAUGGUCAUACCUUGGGAUUAGAUCUAGUAUGACAUCGAUGGGGAAUGCUCGGAGGACCGGCACUGUUGGCCGGAGACGAAUCAGAAGCGCCGCUCGCUGGCCCUGCCCGGAACGCCGCUCGCCGGCCCUGCCCGAAACGCUCGGAGACUCGCACGCUUGGCCGGACACAACCACCGGAGAGGAAUUAACCGCGCCGCUCGCCCCUCGCCCCUCGCCAGCCUAGCGCGGAACGAGGGGGUCCUGCCGGAGGGAAGCAUCAUCUCCCAACAGGUCUCCUAAGGGCAUCUACAAUGAUAGACGCUUGCAAAGACGCUAACAGUGAAAAGAAUAAAUACCGAAUUAAAAAAAAGUGCCUAAGCGCCCUACGUUACAACGGCAGGCGCUAACUACAUGCGUUAAAUUGAACUACCCGGGCGCUUCGCGUGGGAAGAAAAACAAGGAAGCGCCCGGCGCAUGGCCGUGCGUCGAUGCUACACAGAACGCUGGGAUUCCAGUGAUAACUGCCCAAUCAACCAGGAAUCUGAUCCUGGCGCCCAUGCUAAGCAUCGGGCGUUGUACAUGCCCUAA